UUUUUAUUGCAUAUUUCAAAAAACAUACAAACCUUAUACAUACAUUUAUCCACAUGUCCAUAAAAAUGAUGCUACCAGUACGCUCGUGGCUCUAAAGAUUACAACAAUGAUGUACAACAAGAUAAAACAUCCUUGAAACAAGAUGUCGUGGUGCUCCAGCAACAUAUUGCUUCCACAACUCAUCCAGAGCUCGCAUUGACAAGAUGGCUACUGGAUGCUCAAUCUCUAUUUGGUUGACUCAAAACAACAACAAAAAAAGGGCACCAAAGCCAGCACUAGAGGUUUGUACCAAAAGACUCCCUCACUAACUGACACUACAGGUUUGAAAAACUGGUGCAAAAAAGUUGGCAACCAAGCUUUGUCUUCGUCAGUAUGGUGACGAGGGCAAAAAGUUGCUGUUGCGACCGGUCGCUCCAUAAGAACCUCAAUUGCUGCAGUAGAAGCAUGGCACAGAGCGGGCCCAUAUGAUGGUUGAUGGAUUUGAGCUCAAAUGUCACACCUUUCUAAUAGCUCAUCGCUCCUUGCAGGAUACCCACUAUUCCUUGCAUUUGUCAAUUGACCGGUCGCACCACUACCUUCAAAAGCUCCCAUUGCUGUGGAAAGCAGCCAAUGCAUCCACGGAGGAGGUCGAGGAACUCAAAUACAGAAUUGGUCCUUCCGCGAGGAGAAGUCGGUCGGUGAGAUCAGAUGAACCAGCCGACCAGAGACAUGUGUUCAUCAGCUCACUGAGCUAAUUGUCAAUGUCCUACAGCACAAAGUAGAAGAUUUUCACCAGAUUAUGGGGAAUCGCUAGCUGGGCAUGAUGGAUGCACUCUAAAACUAUUUGUAUAAGGUUUUUGUUUGUUAUUUCAGAACAAACUGAUGCUGGGUGCUUAUUCAUACAUUUUAGAAAGUACAAACUUGACAUCUUUUACCAAGCAACCUUGUACUCCCUCCGUUCCUAAAUAUUUAGGAACAGAGGGGAUACAAGCUGAAAAAGAACCUAUUUGGCAUGUUAGAUGAUGAUAACCUCAGGAAAUGGAGUCCUCACCGAUCUAAAGAUCAUGCAAUGGAUGCACGGCCACCGCCUUCCUCGACAGCGACGACAGGAUCCUCUAAUCGAGCUUUGGGGUAGGCCGGUUGGGCGGCUUCUUCGCUCAUCCUGCAAUCAGAAUGAAUCAAACCUCGGACGAAACAAUAACCUGAAUGGUAAAAUGAAACAGCAUGUUCAUUUCAUUAAACUCUAAAAGAAUCCGGCUAAAUUCCGAAUGUCAAAAAGUUCUUGUUUCCUAUCAGAUUAAACACUACCAAGUACCAACUAUAGAGUUCAGACACGCCCAUGCACUCAGGAUUCUGCCAAACAAGACAAAUGUCUGUAGACCAGAGCUCCACCGGCAAAAGUUAGUGUAAAUUUUAAAAAGGCUUUCGCCCCGCUUUAUAGAUAAAGCAGACCGCCAAAGGACAUACAACCACACCAAGUCCACACACACACACCCAAGUACCACAACAAAGUCAUAAGGUUCUGCUGAGGGCACAGCUCAACAAGCCCAAAGAAAGAGAAAAAACAAAGCGAGACCCGCGCCGGGGAUUUAGUCAGGCUCCGGCGGCGGCGGCGGCGGCGGUGGCGAAAGGCGGACGGCCAUCGAGCGAAGAUCGGCGAUGAAGGCAGAGAUGGCGUCGCGCUCCAGGGGACGGCUAAGCGGCCGCCAAAGCUGCAGGAAACCCGAGAAUUUGUAGAGAGCGUCAGUAGCACGACGGAGAGGGGUACGCUCGAUCACAAGCUUAUUACGAACAGUCCAAAGAGUCCAGGCAAGGACCCCAACCUCCAGCCACCUAAUGUGGCGGGAGGACGAGGGGGACGUUUGGAGUUCAGCAAAUAAGUCGGGGAAGUUGGUGUGGGUCCAACCCCCCCUGACAAUCUCGCGGAAGCAGCUCCAGAGGAACCGGGCGGAGGCGCACGCGAAGAAGAUGUGGUUGGAGUCCUCGGGGACAGCAUAGAGGGGGCAGAUACCAGUGCCUGGGCCAUUACGCUUGCGGACCUCCACACCGGAUGGGAUCCGUCCACGGAUCCACUGCCACAUGNNNNNNNNNNAGGAGGGGGCAAUGGCCAUGUAGAGCGAUUUGGUAGAGAACUGGCCCGACGACUCCAAGUGCCAACGCACACGGUCUUGGGCUCCAUCCACCAGCGGCUCAUGCAGAGCGACGCAAUCAAGCAGCUCACGCCAGGCGGCGGAUUCCGCAGGCCCAAAUGGCCGACGAAAAGCGAGGCGCCCUAAGUCAAUAAGGGCCCUAUCAACAGAAAUCAUGGGGUCGACAGAGAUAGAGAAGAGGAUGGGGAAGCGAGCCGCAAAGGGGGAGUCGCCGGCCCAUCGGUCAAACCAGAAGAGCGUCGAGAGGCUGGACCCUACCGAGAUAGAGGUACCAAUGCGGAGCACAGGGAGGAGCUGGACGAGGGACUGCCAGAACUGAGAACCUCCCGACUUCUGGCAGAAGGCAAGGGGUUGGCCGCGCAGGUAUUUAUUCCGGAUAAUGUCCAGCCAUAGGCCACCCUGACCCUGCGAGAUGCGCCACAGCCACCGGGAUAGGAGGGCAAUAUUCAUCCGCUUAGAGCACAUGAUCCCCAAUCCACCCUGCUCCCGAGGCUUGCAGAUGUCAGGCCAGCUGACCAUGUGAUACUUCUGCUUGCCGUGCUCGCCAGCCCAAUAGAAGCGGGACUGGAUUUUGGCGAUCUCCUUAUGGAGAGAUUCAGCCUAUUGCUUCAGCCUAUCCAGAAGGUUAAGACUAUCAAUAUAACACAUAAGCAUAAGAAGAUAGCAGUUAUAUUUUGUGUUGGAAGUCUACCUUGACUCUGAAACUGAAUGAAAAAAGCAAUGACUUUCCCCACUCAAAACUAAUGCAGAAGAUCUCAUCUUGCAAAACACUAAACGUAAUGGAAAAGGGAAUUCUAGCUCCAAAACAUUAACUGCAGAAUAACUAUCCCUUCGAUCUCCUACAGGAAAUCAGUAUGCAGAUCCAUCGACAGCAAGAGACCUGAGCGUUUGUGUAAAAUAUAUAGAGAUAGAGGGUAGGCAUGAAAGGUCGGAAAAUGCAAUGAAGCCUGAUGCUCAACAUAAGAAGAAUGCCUUGACUACAAAAGGACCUGGUGAUCAAACACCAUCUACCUCUUCACAAGGAAAAGGUUUAGGGGUUGCACACAGUGCAGAUGAACCCCAAAACUUUUGACCGGCGAGGGAGUUAAACAUCAUUCACGCAACAAAAUGUUUCAAUAUGGCUAUGGAAUUACAAUAAACAAAUGUCACUGAAAGAAUCCAAGUAAACUUUCCUCCUUCAUAUAAAAUCAAUAAUUAAUUAUAAAUAGAGUAAAAUGUCCCUAUGACUAGCAGUGCUUCUCUACAUAUUACAAUAGUGCACGGAUGUCAGAAUCAAACAUUCAUGACUUGAACAUUGUUGUGUGUACUUCUUCUCCUUCACUGGUCAUCUAAUGACAAAAUAUAUGUUUUGACAACACGAUAAAGAAAAGAUUUGUGAUGCUCAUUCCGGUUCUGCUACCGUAUCUAUGCAUUAUGCUAGAUGAACAUGUAAAUACCUAGCAAGGCUCCCGUUCUUUUCCUGGGUUGCAACCACUUAUUUGUCCUUUUUCAACAUAUAAUUGAGUCACUUAAAUUUAUUUCGCUAGCGAACAAUAAAUACUACUAUGACUAUGCAGAAGUGCAGUUUAGAGUACAAUCCCAAAGUCUUUGAGAAAAGAAUGGAGAGAGCAACAUUUGAAGAACAGGAAGUUUGCAGUCUAGUUUUUUUGGAUGAUAGCAGUGCUGCUCUCUACGGUCUAGUUACAUGAGACGACACACCAGAUUUAAUUUAUCAUUAACACUAACACAAGACAAGUGCAAUCCUUGUAAGAACUGAUCCAUGCAAGACCAAAGCAACAACAAAUAAAUUAUCUCGGGAGCACACAAUGCCCAUGAUGUACUGCUGCACAGUAAUGAAGUUUACCACCAUCAAUGGCCAUGUGGGCACACUGAGAAUGAGAGAGAAGAGGAGAGGAAGCAUCAGCUUACCUCAGCCGUGGUCGAAGAAGAACUGGCCACCGGUGGGGCGUUGGAGUUAACGCUAGCGCGGGCAAACGGAGUCGCUGGUGAUGUUGUCCACCACGCACACCACACAGCGGUUACUUAUGUUAAACCUAUAGAGCUAGAUGCAACAGCAUGUUCAGCGCUCAAGUCGAAACUAACACGACAACAUGAAAAUGCUAGAGUUGAAGCUAAGCUGCACAAGUGCUCAAGUCGAAAGUAACACAAUAGUAGGAAAAUGCUAGAGUUGAAACUAACAAGCAACAGGAAAAUGCUAACCUCAGGAACUGGAGUCCUCACCGAUCUAAAGAUAGUGCAAAGGAUGUGCGGCCACCGCCUCCUCGACAGCGACGACAGGAUCCCCUAAUUGAGCUUCGGGGCAGGCCGGCUGGGAAGCUGCUUCGCUCAUCCUACAAUCAGAAUGAAUCAGACCUCGGAAGAAAGAAUAACAGGAAUGGUAAAAUGAAACAGCAUGUACGUUUCUUUAAACUCUCAAAGAAUCCAGCUAAAAGCCAAUGUCAAACAGUUAUUUUUUCACUCGGAUUAAACACUACCAAAUACCAACUACAGAGUUCAGAUACGCCCGUGCACUCAGGAUUCAGCCAAAUGUCCAUAAGACCAGAGAGCUCCACCGAAAAUUAGGAAGUGUAGUAAACCAUGAGCCUAUUCCAGCAACCUAUCCAGAAGGUUAAGACCCGCAAUAUAACACAAAAGCAUCAGAUCAUAGCAGUUAUAGUACGUGCCGGGGGUCUACCUUGACUCUGAAACUGAAGGAAAAAGCAAUGACCUUCCCAACUCGAAACUAAUGUAGAAGAUAUCAUCUUGCGAAACACUAAUCGGAAAUGGAAGGGGAAAGGCAGCUCCAAAAUAUUAACUGGAGCAUAACUAUUCCUUGGAUCUCCUACAGGAAAUCAGUAUGCAGAUCCCUCGACAGCAAAAGACCACAACGUUCAUGCAAAAUCUAUAGAGGGUAGGCAUGAAAGGCCACAAAAUUCAAUGAAGCCUGAUGCUGAACAUAAGAUUAAUGCCUUGACUAAAAACAUAUCUGAUAGUCACACCAUCUACCUCUUCACAAGGAAAAGGAUUAGAGGUUGGAGCGGUGCAGAUGAACCUCCAUUACUUUUAACCGACGAGGGAGUCAAACAUCAUUCAUGCAACAAAAUGUUUAAAAAUGGCUAUGGAACUACAACCAACAAAUGGCAAUGGAAGGAUCUACGUAAAGCUUACUCUUUCAUAUAAACCAAGAACUUCAUACAAACAGAAUAAAUUGUCCCUAUCACCAGCAGUGCACCAAUCCUACAAGUUGACAGUGUUUGACCUUGCAACAAAUCAAAUUAAAUGAUUGAUGUGUUUGCUCCUCUACAAAUUAAAUCAGUGCAUGGAUCACAGAAUCAAACAUUCAUGAGUUGCACAUUCCUGUGUGUAUUUCUUCUUCACCGGCCAUCUAAUGGCAAAGUACAUGUUUUAAUAAAAUGAGCAAUAAAAGAUUUGUGUAUGCUCACUCCGGUUCUGCUACCGUAUCUAUGUAUCAUGCAUUCAUGCUAGAUGAACAUGGGUUGCAGCAACUUAUUUGUCCUGUGUCAACAUAUAAUUGAGUCACUUAAAUUUAUUUCACUAGCAAACGAUAAAUACUACUAAUGGGUUCUCAAGGCUCAUUAGUCACCUUCCUCUGGUCAAAACAGAAGCAACUAAUGACGUCUCAACUCUAAAGGCUCUCAAGAAGCUAUAAGAAACCGUGGUCACCUUUCACUGCUAGAGGCAAUUCUUUCUUGCAUUCAGUGACUUGAAUGACAACGAAGAACACCCCGGGGGUGGUAAUAGAACCCAGGCAUCUUACCGGAGUGAGUCAUUGUUCUGGGUUCCCACAAAUAGCGAUUCACAUGCCUGCAGGAGAAUUACCAGCUUCGGAAGGGUCUUCAACAACCAUGAUUUUAUUUUAGCCUUAUUUCUUCAGGGAUCUCUGAAUUUUUGCCAAGAUUUUUCUUCACUAUCAAGCACAAAACACAAGUCAAGUCAUCAAUUGUUUAUUACAUGAAAAAUCAUAGGAAUGUGGAGAAGAUAUAAGAAGACAAGUCACAUGCAACAAACCACUCAUAAAUCUGGUAAAGCAACCUGUGCCAUUAGUUAAAAAUGUAGUCUACACCUUAGCUAGAAAUACAUGCAACAAUCAAGGGAGAAUCAAUAUCAUCAACAACCAUUUUGUCGAUUCUAAGCAUUAUCAUGAAUUCAUCCUAUCUAUUAAGUCUCAUACAACUCAAACAGCAAGGAUUCAGACAUAGGUCACAGUUGAGCCAAAGGUAUGAACUGGAUCAUGCAACUUUGCUAGAUUAUUAAAAAAAUGCAACUUUGCUAAAAAAAACACACUUCAUACGAGCAGACCCAGGUUAACAAAAAAUUCUUCAAAUGGCAUCUAUACAGGAUUUCAUUGUAGAAAAUAAUGCGAAUUCGCUAAAAAUCAAUAGCAGAUUGCUCAAAGAUAAACCGCACUUCAUGCGAGCAGACCAAGGUUAACAAAAAAUUCUUCAAAUAGCAUAUAUACAUGAUUACAGGGUAACCAGCAAAGCAUGCAGACAGAGUUCUUGACUAGAGUAAAUAUUCGCAGUUUAUCAUCAUCAAGAACUAAACAAAAGUCCUUCCUCUAUCAGGAUUUCUCCAAACAUGAAAAAAAGCUAAGAUGGUAACAUAGCAGCAACUCACACAGGAAACAUUUAGCCCUGUAUUUCCCGGCCCAAAUGUAGACAACAAAACGGAGUGUUCAAAGACAGAAACAGAGCAGUUGGAAAUGAUUUGAUUUGCAGCAGUAGGGUACCUAACCAAACCACUCAACAUUGCAUCUUACACGUAGUCACGAACAAUCAAGUUACCAUUUCCAAAAACAGCACUGGUAUUGCAUAGCACACCUUAGUGAUACACUAACAAAAUAGAAGAGUUCAAUGAUCAAACUACCUCCAGAACAUUUCUUCUUCAACAAAGAAAGGCAUCCAUAUCUUGACGAAGCAGGCUGAGAUUGCAAUAGACCAGGGCAGUGUGUAUUAGAUGUCUUCACCAAAGAUUGAAGCUUUGCACGGCCACGCUUCUGCUUCCUACAAGUUUUUGGUGAACCAUUACUCACACGAUCACUGUUACUUCCAUCCUAUAGCUCAGGAAAGCUGUUCAUAUUCAGAAACAUUCUUGAUAAACACAAAAAAAAGGAUAUAGCAUGCUGACAGACAACUUUUCUAAAUUGUAAACCAAUGUUUUAAAUAGCGGGCUAUGAAAAUAGCGGCGGAGCUAUAACGGGCUAAAGCUGGCUAUAGCGGGCUAUUUGUGAAGGCGGACAUUUAGCAGCAGCCCACUGAAAAGGCUAUAGCGGAGCUAUAGCGGGUUAUAGCGGAUCUAUAGUCGGCUAUUUAAAACUAUGCUGUAAACCAAGGCUACUCGAGCUGCAUAUUAAACAUAAGUGCUAGGUCCACCAUUCACUUGUUUUGUAAUCUUCUUACGAGAUAAACUCAUUUCACAUAAUGAUUCUUUAGAGCUUACUCAAGAAUGUUGCUAGAAAUAUACUGCUAACUUGAUGUAGAAGAUCUCUAGGCUCAUACUGUACCUACUAACCGGAUAACUUCACGGCAACAAAGCUAAGCUCUAGUAUACUAGCGGUCCCUUUUGCUCUACUCCGCCGUCCACAUAGUUACUGCAUGCUAGCUGGGAUGAUAGCCAGGUCAGAGGGAUACAUCAUAAUUAAACACUAAAAUAUUGAUGGCGUGGAUGAUUCCUCGACAACGACACUUCAUUACCCGACUCCGCCAUAAUUAACAGAACAAAAAGAAAUCAUACAUGACAAGUUGAUGUCCACGGUCUUCUUGCAAUUGAUUUUGUGCGAGGGAAACAUCAAAACCUUGUUUUGGCAGACUACAUGGCGCUUGAAAUGUCCUGAAGAUAUGAAAGAAUUAGCUAUACUAUCUAGGAUUAGCAUCCAACAAGCAUUUGACUUUUAGGUUAAAGUCACCACUUGCAACCUACAAAUGCGUAGUUCGAUCACUUGAGAUUGUCAAGGCUUACCCAUUGGCAACAUCGUACUGCUUGGCCAACACGGGAAAGGUUGGGAACUAGCUGCACACAAAACUAGCAUAACUAUUGUAGGCUCUAGAAGAUGACUAGCUAAACAAAGUAUGCAAGAUGCUGAAAUACUAAACUCUGUCGACCAUCAUGCUCACUUAAUGUACACAAGACUUUGUUUUGGGAAAUAGCAGGUUGGAAUGGUUCACCCACCAUUCCUUGAUGCUCCAGAAACUCCGCUCCUUCAAUGACUCAUCCCUGGAAAAGAGAACAUAUUAUUAUCACCAGCUAUUGCUUUUGGGCAUCAAGAAGCUCCCUCACAAGCAAAUUUAAUUGAGAAAAAGAAAACAAGCUGUCACAUUUCUUUUUGGUAGCAAAUAUAAUCAUAAUCUAAAGAACUAACGACGUGUUUGGUUGCUGCCCAGGUAACGUAAUGGGUUCCACAAUAAGAAAGCGCUGCUUCCGAUUCUUUUUUACAGGAUACUGGCUUUGUUUGGUUCGCUUGGUGGCAUCCGGUUUGCUAAUCACUGUCCGCUCGACUAUUUUCGACUUUGUGAAGCCGCGUAUCGGAAACCGCUGCUUCACAAAACGCAGUACGCGAACCAAACACAAUCUACUGUUUCGGAAAGCACAGGGAUCGGAAACUGCAACACUUUCGCCGAACCAAACGGGUCGUAAAGCUUUCACCACUCUAUGUGAAAAUAAUAAUGCUAGUAAUAUUCUACUCAGGCAACACAGAACUUAAAAACCAUGCAUAACUGGUGAAACUUGCAUCAAAAUGGCAGGUUUGCCAGAAACAGAUUGCUUGCAAUAUUCCUUUUUUCUUCUAUGGUUUAUAUAUAAAAGUAUGCCUGAUAAGGCAAGUCCUUGAUGAAGUCACCUAAUGGAUUCUCAAGGCUCGUUAGUCACCUUUGGUGAAAACAGAAGAAACUAAUGAAGUCACAACUCUAAAGGCUCGCAAGAAGCUACAACAAACAAUGGUCACCUUUCACUGCUGGAGGCAAUUAUUUAUUGUAUUCAUUGAUUUGAAGUACAACAAAGAACACCACGAAUCAUAUACCUCCGUCACUUAGACACCAACAUGAGCGGUGACUGAUUCCUGCACUAGAUAGGCCAAUCUCUACUGACAAUGUAACAUGGAGUUCAUGCAACUAUUAGCAACAUCGGCCUGCCAGCACAUCUCCCUAUUUAUGAAUCCAUACUUAUAAUAAAAUAUAUCAAACAUGACGUGAUUCUCAUGUAAUGACUAAAGUAAUUUUUUUUCUUCACAAAGCCAGAAAGGCAAGCACAAAUACCAAGCAGAAGACCAUACAAUAAUCAUGUUCCCUUGGAGCUACCUAUCAAUCUACGAUGCUCAGACCAAGCGGAAUGGACCAAAUACUCCUUUUUCUCAAAACAAGCAGAGUUGGUGGUUAUCUCAAGAGGAAAAAAUGAUGCAAGAUUUGCAAGAUUAAUAGGAGUAAUAAUCCAACAACCCUCGUCCAGUAGAAAAGGAGAAAAGGAGGAAACGGACGGGCAGUAUUGUCCCAAAAAAGCAACAUCAACAAUCAUGAACCAGAUUAAAGCAACCUUAGCAGGCAAGAUUGCAAAUUUAUUCCUUUAUGUACACAUGGACAAAAUAAUUCUAACAUCAUAGCUUCGUAGUCAGUACCAAAAACUCCAACAUAGAGGAGCAUCUCAUUCUCCAAAAUACAAGCAGUAAUAAAUACACCGAAGUCAAUAACCAUGUGGGAACACUAACGUUGCCAUGACGCAGUUGGCCAGCAUAAAAUUUUCCAUGGCUCGAUAGCCAUGGGAACAGAGAGCAUGAGAGAGAGAGCAGAGGGGAACCAACAAUUUACUGAUGCUGGAGCUGAAGAAGAAACGGAUGCAGGAGGGGCAGGGCAGGAGGCGUCAGAGUGAGCGCCGAAGCAGGUAGAGCUGCUUCGCCGGCAAAACUUGUGCCAAACAACAUCGUCUCCACACCAUCGUCUCCAUUGGCUAGGUCUCACAUGGGCCGGCCUGAGGAAACCACAUCAGGGAAUAAGGCAGCAAUGCACUAGGCAUGGUAUUGCCAUUAAGCCUCCUGUUAGCAUCAUAAUAUAAAUAGUCAGAACACCUAAUGGUAUCAUGGCUCAUGUGGAACAGAUCAUGAAUGGGGAAAACCUUCAGAAUAUAAUUCUUUCAUGGUACAGUAGUACAAUUAGAGAACUUACAAGCUGGGUAUUUCACCAGAGAAGUGGUUGCUGUAGAGAACUAGAGAGCAAGGGCCCUAAGUAUUGUUUGCUUGCUAAGGCUGUUAGGGUUCGCCCAUUGAUGUUGUUGUUCUGUGUUAGACUGUAUUUACAUGUGUAUAUUGUAACGUUGUAUACCACCUCAUUAUAUAUAUAUGUGAUAGGCCACCCCUAGAGGGUUGUGCCGGUUCCCCCCAAAGCCUAUUGUCUUACAUGGUAUCACGCUAGGUUACGUCUGCUUCCGCCUAAAAACCCUAAACCGCCGCCGCCGCCGCUGCCGCCGCCGCCGCCGCCGCCGCGCCCGCCGUCGCCGUCGCCCGACUGCUAUGACGUCCGCCGCUGCGUCCGGCUCCACCGCCACCGGUUUUCUGCCGGCCUCCCUCGCGGCACUUCUCUCGAGGCCGCUGGAUGCCGCCUCCCUUCAGGCGCCGAUCGGGACACGGAGCGUCGGCUCCCUCUUCGCGCUCCCGCCGGCUGCUACUUCGCCCGGGCAGGCGCUUGUGGCCCACACCGCCGCCGCCCCGUCAACCGCGGCUGUCGCGCCCUCGGCCACUGCGCCGCUGGUGGCGGAGGAUGUCGCGCUGGCAGGCUUCGCGGCGUCAACCGCGGCCAUCGCGCCCUCUGUCACCGCGCCGGCUGCCCCUCUGACUGUCUCCACGGUGGUCUCACCUCAGCCAGUCUCCUCGAUGGGAUCGCAGCCGCCGCCGCCGUUUCACUUCGGCCAUCUCAUCACCAUCAAGUUGUCGUCGGACAAUUACAUCUUCUGGCGCGCGCAGGUUCUUCCGCUUCUUGGGAGUCACUAUCUGCUUGGCUAUGUCGACGGCUCUCUCCCUUGCCCUCCUGCGCUGGUUGACAGCGUGCACGGUCCGGUCUAUAAUCCGGCUCACCGUGUCUGGACAGGGCAGGAUCAGGCGAACCUCUCCUCCAUCCAGGGGUCGCUCUCUCCGGCCGUUGCUAGGCUUGUUGUCUUCGCCAAGACGUCCCACGAGGCAUGGACUAUUCUUGAGCGCUCGUUUGCGGCACAGUCGCAGGCUCGUGUAUCUGGGCUCCGUCGCCAACUUGGGGAGUGUCAGAAGCUUGACUCCACCGCCACUGAGUUCUACAACAAAGUCAAGAGUCUCGCCGACACGUUGGCCUCCAUUGGACAGCCCCUCACCGACUCCGAGUUCAACUCAUUUAUUGUCAAUGGUCUUGAUGAGGAGUAUGACGCCCUAGUCGAGAUCAUCAAUGAGAGAGGCAACUCCACGCCCAUGCUAGCACACGAGGUCUUUUCACGCCUCCUGCUUACUGAGCAACGAGUCGAGACGCGCCGAUCCAGGGGCAACGGCGCCCUCUCGGCAAACACCGCCACCAAGGGUGGUCGCUCCUCUGCUUCAUCCAGGGCUCCUUCGGGGCAGUCACCACCACCCGCCUCGGCCCCUCCUCCUACUGCGACGCUACCAGGGGCUGGCGGUCCACGUGUGUGCCAGCUUUGUGGUCGCGAUGGGCACUGGGCCUCGAAGUGUCACAAGCGCUUCCAGCGGGGUUUUCUUGGUCUCGGCAAUGACGGGAAGGAUACACGCAACUUUGCUCGUCAGGUCGCCAUGGCUGAUCGUCCGCCGCCGCAGAAGCCACAGGGACACACUCAGUCCUACUCCAUUGAUCCCCACUGGUACAUGGACUCUGGGGCGACAGAGCACCUGACCAGUGAGAUGGGGAAGCUUCACACUCGUGAACCCUACCAUGGCUCCGACAAGAUCCACACCGCCAAUGGAGCAGGUAUGCACAUCUCUCAUAUUGGUCAAGCAUCACUUCUCACUAGACAUGCCAAUAGGAGUCUUCAACUUCGCACUGUUCUUCGAGUUCCAUCUGUGACACGUAAUCUUCUUUCAGUUCCUAAACUCACUCGUGAUAAUAAUGUGCUUUGUGAAUUUCAUCCUUUUGAUCUUUUUAUUAAGGAUCGGGGCACGAGGGACAUUCUUCUUAGUGGGCGGCUCUGCCAAGGUCUCUAUCGUCUGGAGCAUCCUGGCGUCGCUCGCGUCUUUAGUGGAGUUCGGGUAUCUCCGUCACAGUGGCAUCCUCGUCUUGGUCACCCGGCCACACCUAUUGUCCGGCAUGUUUUGCGUCGUCAUGAGCUUCCUAGUGUGUCUAGUAAUAAAGAUGUAGCAGUGUGUGAUGCUUGUUAGCAGGGGAAGAGUCAUCAACUUCCUUUUUUGGAGUCCAGUCGUGAGGUGAAACAUCCUUUAGAACUUGUGUUUUCAGAUGUAUGGGGUCCUGCUCAGACUUCUGUUAGUGGUCAUAAUUACCAUAUCAGUUUUGUUGAUGCUUACUGCCGCUUUACCUGGCUUUAUCUUAUCAAACGUAAAUCUGAUGUGUUUGACAUUUUUGUUCAGUUCCAAAAACAUGUUGAACGCCUUCUCAAGCACAAAAUUGUUCAUGUUCAGCCGGACUGGGGUGGCGAGUAUCGCAACCUCAACUCCUUCUUUCAGUCGCUUGGGAUCACUCACCGUUUAGCAUGUCCACAUACACAUCAGCAGAAUGGUUCAGUAGAACGUAAGCAUCGUCACAUUGUUGAAGCUGGUCUGAUUCUUUUGGCCCAUGCAUCUGUUCCAUUUCGUUUUUGGAGUGAUGCUUUCACCACUGCAUGUUUUCUCAUCAAUCGUACUCCCACUCGUAUUUUGAAUAUGAAGACUCCCAUUGAAGUUCUCCUUAAUGAACAACCGGACUACACCUUUCUCAAGGUGUUUGGGUGUGCUUGCUGGCCCCAUCUCCGUCCAUAUAACAAGCGUAAGCUCGAGUUUCGUUCCAAGAAGUGUCUUUUUCUUGGUUAUAGCUCUCUUCAUAAAGGAUACAAAUGUCUUCAUGUGCCCACUAAUCGUGUCUACAUCUCUCGGGAUGUUGUGUUUGAUGAGCAUGUUUUUCCCUUUGCCAAACUCCCUGUGUCCACUACCGAGCCACCUGUCAUGCAUUCAUCCUCUGUUGCUUCUGACCAAUUUGAUGAUGUUGCAUAUUCUCCUCUAUUGUUGCCUAACCAUGGUGCAGGCACUGGUCGUGGGGCUCGUUUGGAGAUUCUAGAAGUGCCAUCUUCCUCUUCGUCGCCAUCGCCUUCAUCCUCGGCACCUUCUGUUGUGCAUGAGGAGCACAUGGCGCCCCUGCAUGGCCUCGGUUUCCAUGCUCAUGCACGGCCGAUCGACGUCCUAGCCCGGUCGCCUCUGGCUUCUGGGCUGCCUUCGCCAUCGUCGCGCCCUGCAACCCCGCCGACUGGGCCGGCCUCCUCGGUCUCCGUCUCGCCCAGGGCGUCGGGGCAGUCAUCACCAGGCCUGGCCUCGCCCGCCCCUGCCUCGCCCAGGGUGUCUGGGCCCUUCUCAUCAGGGCCGGCCUCACCUGCUCUCGCCUCGCCAAGGCCGUCUGGGCCGGUGUCACCGGAGCUGGCCUCGCCCACUCUCGGUUCGCCCAUGGCCUCUGAGCCCCUGUCGUCGGGCCAGUCUUCGCCAUGCAGCCCGGAGUCGUCUGUCCCGAGCUCGCCUGAGGUGAUUCCUGCAUCUCCGGCGACCAUCACGUCUCCGUCACCUUCGCCUCCGCCGGCUCCUGCUGCUGCUCUACGUCCACAUAUGCGCAGUCGGAGUGGCAUUUUUCAGCCUAAGCAACGUCACGAUGGCACAGUUGCUUGGUUAGCGGCGUGCAUGUCUGCUGCUCUCGCAGAUCCAUCCUCUGAGCCACGCACGUAUCAAGCUGCUAUGCGCAUUCCUCAUUGGAGAGAGGCCAUGGAGCAGGAGUAUCAAGCGCUUCUUCGCAAUCAGACAUGGACUCUUGUUCCUCCACAAUCACGGGUAAAUGUCAUUGAUUCCAAAUGGGUUUUCAAAGUGAAGAGGCAUUCUGAUGGGUCCAUUGAGCGCUAUAAGGCUCGUCUGGUUGCUCGUGGUUUUCGACAGCGUUUUGGACUUGACUAUGAAGACACCUUCAGUCCAGUGGUCAAGCCUACUACCAUCAGACUUCUUCUCUCUCUGGCUGUUACUCGAGGUUGGUUUCUUCGUCAGCUUGAUGUUCAAAAUGCUUUUCUUCAUGGUGUCUUGGCGGAGGAGGUUUACAUGCGCUAGCCUCCGGGUUUCUCUAAUCCGGAUCGCCCUGAUCAUCUCUGUCGUCUGUCCAAGGCAAUUUAUGGUCUGAAGCAGGCUCCUCGUGCUUGGCAUGCUCGUCUUGCAAUGGCUCUUCGUGCUCAUGGUUUUGCAUCAUCAACUGCUGACUCCUCAUUGUUUCUUCUUCAAAGGCCUGAGGUUACUAUGUACUUGUUGGUCUAUGUAGAUGAUAUCAUUUUGGUCAGCUCCUCUCAGUCGGCUGCUACUGCGCUUGUUCGCUCACUUGGUGCUGAUUUUGCGGUCAAGGACCUUGGGAAGCUUCAUUACUUUCUUGGUGUGGAGGUUACUUCUCGUGCUGCUGGCCUUGUUAUGACGCAGAAGAAGUACUCUCUGGAUUUGUUGCAGCGAGCUGGGAUGCUUAAGUGCAAACCGACGACUACACCCAUGUCUACCACUGAUAAGCUCAAUGCUGUUGAUGGUGUGCUUCUUUCUUCUUCUGAUGCGACAGAGUACAGGAGUAUUGUUGGUGGGCUCCAGUACUUGACGAUCACGCGACCAGACAUUUCCUAUGCUGUUAACCGAGUCUGCCCGUAUCUGCAGUCACCCCGUGACACUCAUUGGUCUGCUGUUAAGCGGAUUUUGCGCUAUAUUCGUUUCACGGUGGCUCAUGGUUUGCAUAUUCGGCCGUCUGACUCUGGUUGUCUUUCAGCAUAUUCUGAUGCAGACUGGGCUGGCAAUCCGGAUGACAGGCGAUCCACGGGGGUUAUGCUGUCUUCUUUGGCUCUAACCUGAUUGCCUGGAGUGCUCGGAAACAGGCUACUGUCUCGCGUAGCAGUACUGAGGCUGAGUAUAAGGCUGUGGCCAAUGCCACAUCAGAGAUCAUCUGGGUACAGUCCUUGCUUCAGGAGUUAAGUAUACCCCAAUCACAGCCUCCUGUUCUUUGGUGUGAUAACAUCGGUGCUACAUACCUUUCUGCAAAUCCGGUAUUCCAUGCCCGAACGAAACACAUUGAAGUUGACUAUCACUUUGUGUGUGAACGUGUCUCUCAGAAGCAACUACAGAUCAAGUUUAUUUCUUCCAAGGAUCAACUUGCUGACAUCUUCACCAAGCCAUUGCCUUUGCCACAGUUUGAGACUUGCAGGCGCAAUCUUACCCUUCUAGAUUCAUUAGAAAGUGGCUAAGAUUGAGGGAGGGUGUUAGACUGUAUUUACAUGUGUAUAUUGUAACGUUGUAUACCACCUCAUUAUAUAUAUAUGUGAUAGGCCACCCGUAGAGGGUUGUGCCGGUUCCCCCCAAAGCCUAUUGUCUUACAUUCUGAAGUAGACUAUAGCCAAUUUGAGAGAGAGAAGAAACGGUAAGAUAUCUUCAUCCUUCCUAAAAGAAACAUGUUUUCUUAACAUAUACUUCCUCCGUCACAAAAUAAGUGUCUCAGCUUUAGUACAAAGUUUGUACAAAGUUAAGAUACUUAUUUUGGGUUCGGAGGGAGUACAUGGCUAGAGAAACUUACAUUGUCCCGAGAUUGGUCAAAUUCCGAAUGCUUGGGGAGAACAGUCCAGAGAGCUCCAUAGGCAAUGGGGGGAGUCCAUAUCAAUAACCGAAGAGGAACUGGCCACGAGCUCAAUGGACGGCGAAUUCUUCUCAGACCAAUGUGAGCCAUCAUUGUCCACGAGCUGCACCUGCACGCGCAACCUUCCUUAUCAGCAAAUCCAAAACAACCAAAGCAAGCGAGGUUUAGUUUUGGUAAAUUACUGCACAUGCACGUGUAACCUUCCUUAUCAACAAAUCCAAAAUAACCAAAGCAAGCGAAGUUUAAUUUUGGUAAAUUACUCUAACAAGAUAAAAGGCUUCGUAAGUAAGUAAGUAAGUACUCUAACAACCAAUAGACUGACUAGUAAACAACUUGUUUGCUAACAAAUUCGAUUGAAGUGUUUUUAUUCCCUAUUGCUUGACCUUUAAAUCAUAUCUGACCAAUAGCACAAGGGAAUGAACACCAAAAUAGCAUAAAUUAUAUAUGCUAAUUUAGGGCCAUUGCAACAAAUUCGGGGACUGGUGAGAGACUCCAUAUAAAUGAAAAGUUUGAGUAAUCACGCUUAGAGAACUCUCAAUUAAUGUGUUUGAUAUACUAGUCACAGUAAAAAACGAUUAGAUCGGUAGACAAUCCUCCUGGGACCCAACCACAUUAUUAGAUAUUAUUAACAUGUCUUCUUAUCAGUUCGAAGCAACAAAAUCAACAACCUAAUACUAACAUGCAACAUGAAAGCGCUUUUGGUUCGUUGCACACUGAUUGAACAACACAAUAUGAUUACUCCCAUCAUAUGCAAACCCAAAAACUGCCAAAUAAUCUAAUCAAACAUGGAUUAAUAACAGAUAUGGAUGCUACCCUGUUUUUCUGCAGAGUUAGUGGUUGUCUCAAGAGAAAGAAAUGAUGGAGAAGUUGCAAGGUUACUAAAAACAAUAAUCCAACAAGCGUCAUCGAGUCAGAAAAUGAGUAAACAAACAGGAAGUGUUGUCUCAAAAUGUGGCAUCGACGAACAUGGUGUCGGUGCGGGGACGACACCUAUGGGAUCACGAGAAUCCCUACUACGUUUGCGGGGCGCGGGGUUGCGAGAAGGGCGGAUCGAACAAAUAGCACACGAGUUCUUUAUCCAGGUUCAGGCCGUGAGGAUGCGUAAAACCCUACUCCUGCUCUGGUGGUUUGUUUAUCUGUGUUCUCAGGCUAGCAAUGGGACGUGAAGAGCUCCAAAAAGUCGAAUCCCCCUCCUGGUCACCUUGGGCCUCCUUUUAUAGGGAAAGGGGUUGCCACAGUGGCACACAGGAGGUGGAAAGGGCACAGUGAUACGAGUUUAUCCCUCGCAUUACAUGACAAGGUGCAUUUAAUGCGUCUUGCUUAGGUGUCCUUGCUUUAUCGGGGACGGGGGAGAACCCAGUCUUGUCCGUCGCCGCUCCCUUUCGCGUCGACACGCGCCCUGGCCAGCGGUGCCCGUGGCGCCAUGUAGGCAGGCAGGCAGCUGAGGUGGCGCAGCAGUGGGUCUCCAUGAAGAUCUGCCCGCCGCCACGCAGGUGCCUGCCCAACUGGUUGGGUCGGCAGCUGCAUGCGAACGGUGGUAGAGGUUGGAAUUGGCGUGGGCCUGAUGGUGGCCCUACGGGUGUCCUUGGCAAGGGCCUCACCGUAGCCCCAACAAGGGUCUUGCCGGGGCCCAGGCAAGGGUCUUGCCGUGGUGCCUGCUGUCGUUCCCGGCAAGGCUCUUGUUGGGGGCCUUGUGGUCCUCCUUGGCUGGGAUCCUGCCAAGGGUCGUCAUCUUCUAUAGUGUAUAUCUGAUCUUGAAUGUCUUCACAAAGAUCUGCAUGCCACCAUGGGGAUGUCCCCCGAAUCCUUGCCCCACGGGGGCGGUGGACUCAAGGGUGACUCGCUCCGUAGGUGUCGGGCGAGCUUCCACGGCAGGGGUCUUGCCGGGUUUGCUAAAACCGUCCCCCGGCAAGGAUCUUGCCGGGGGAGUCUGCUUCGUCCCCUUUGCUCUUUGUGGUCUUGGUCUUGGCGUCGUUCCGCUCCUUUCGAGCUUCGGCCUUACCUUGGCUCACCUCCCUUGCCUUGCCGGUGCGGUGGUGUCCGUGGCUCGGACUGCCCGUGCACAGUUAUAGGGGUACAAAAAGUGUACCCCUCCCUUUUUGUACACCGACAGGAGCCCCCGGGCCUGGGCCACACGUAAGCGCAAUCGCGUCGUUCGGCUAGGCCCAAAAAUGGUGCGCGGGCAGGCAGGGUAGUUUUUACCGUGGUAAGUUUCUUCGCGCGCUGCGCUUCCCAUGCCUCCCGCGUGUGGCUCGGCGUGGGGAGGCGUGCGUGACAUGGGCGGCAUGCGUGGGGCUGAGCUCUGUGCACAUGCGUCACGUCGUAGUAAAAGGGGGCGGUUCGCGCCUUCCCCAUAAACGGAGGGAGGCGUGGAGGCUCGACCCAUUUACUGAACGGGGCCGGGGCGUGGUCUUAAGGCGUCCACUCCCCAUGAUCACGGGGUGGGGAGAGGUCGCCUCACCCGUCGCCUCGGUCCCGCAUGCCCGCCACGUGGUUCUCAUGCGCUCGGGGUGGCGAACGGUGGAGGCGAGAAACCGGGCUGUCGCGGGCCAGGGAAGCAGGUUGGUCUCAGUCCCCUGCGCCUUUCGCGUCUCGAUUGGCUGAGUGGGGCGGCCGAGCCCCCACCCCGGCUCUUUAUAAAGAGCGGGGGGGAUGGCGUCCUGCACUCUUCCAUCUCCUCCUUCCCUCAGCUUCCGCCUCCCCCCCCUCCCUCCAUCCGCCAUGGAGAGAGGGAAUCCUGGCUCUUCAACGGUGGCGGCGAGGGGUCGCCGCUUGACAAGGCGUCCUUCCUUCUCCUUCACCCGCGGUGGCAGAGCCAGCCGCGAGGGGAAGGGGGAGGGGGCGAGGCCGCGGGCAAGGCCGUGGGCGAGGCCGAGGCGCUCAGGGAAGAGGAGAACGGGGCGGCGCGCCGGUCUUGCCUCCGCCAGUAGUUCCUCCCCCCAUGGAGGGCCAUGUCAGGGAUGACCCUUGCGAGUUCUUCGUCACACUACAAGAAAAUUGACAUACUGUGACGAAAAUCCUCAUGACGAUGGUGGACAACGUCACUGGAAUACCUAAUGUGUGAUGUUUCAUAGGUGGCGUCACUGAUAACCGUGAAUUUGUGACGAUUAAUGUCACAAAAUUGCCUCGACCGUUGAGUGCUACGUGGUUGCCAAUUUCUAUGACAAUUUGUUAAUUUCCAUGAUGAAUUAUUAGUGUCAUCGAAUAUUACGAAUAUGUGACGCUCAUUUUUUUUGUCAUGUAAAGUCUAGCAGUGGGUCCCACCACAGCUGUUUCAUAGCUUAUUGAAUGGUACGACCCACGUGUGAGUGUUGACAACAUGGCGUGCCUUGUUUCUUCUAAAGCAAUUGGGCGAUGUAGUCAUUUUGUUCUAUCCAAUAUAAACAGGUAGUGGCCGUGAAGAAAAUUUAUACAGACGAUCGUAAGGUGAUGCAUACGGCAGUGCAAUUGUUUGGUUCUAUCUCAAAGUAAAAAUGUGGCUAGGAAAAAGAAGUUAUUGUGUAUCAUGGAUAGGAACAGUAUAGGACCAAUUGUAGGGUGAUUGAUUAGUGUGUUACUGUCCGAUUAAAAUUAAGUUGGGUAUUGACCCCUUGACAUCAUGUCGACUUGUACUGUUGUACAUGCCACUGCGAACGAUGGGUCAUGAUUACCGAACUCUUUACAUUAGGUCUAUUUGUGAGUUAUAUAUUUUAAUAAUAAUUUAAUGUUUAUUUUAAAUCAAAUGAAUUAUACGGAGUAUAUGAUAUUUAGUGGAAAUUAAAUUCUGAAAAAAAAAUCUCCACCUUUUCUUGAUAAAUAAAUAAAAAAUCUCUCCACCUAAGAAACUCUUUUUGCUCCAGGAAAAAAUAUUUUCCCUCCAUGUAUCUCAAGUUUUUCCAGCAUCCACCUUGUUUCCCACCCGUCAAAGACCCGGCCAAAUUUCCUGCUUCUAUUUCACCCGCGAAGAGCCACGGCCUACCCCACGUUUCUUCUUUAGAUUAGAUUCAAUUGCCUCUGUUCUCGCCACGAAAGCGGCGAUCGGCGCCGCCAAGAUUGGGGGAGGCCGCCCCGCCGACCGAGUUCGGAUCGACCAAAUCAAUCAGCCCUGCGAAUAGUCUGCUCUCUUCUCCCCCAGAUUACAACGUUCGGCGACGGAAGAUUGGAGGAGGCCGCCCCACCGGCCGGGCUCGGAUCCACCGCAUCAACCCGCCCCGGGAGCACCCGGGUCUCUUUCCCCCGGAUUGCAACAACCGACCAUGACUAUCGGUAUUUAUCUCGUCCCGCCCUCCUCAUCCCGUCGGCCUUAAUGUUCAGUGAUUAGGGUUCAUGCAUACUACUACUCAUCCUGCCCUCCACGUUAGUUAGGAUGCCACAACCCGCUGUGGUAAAAAUGCCUGAACCUCCUCCUAGAUUUCUUGCUUUCUUUCCCCAAAUAAAAAAUUCAUAGGAAGGACUCUUGCUUGUUGCAUGUCCUAAAUCCUAACUCACGGGUUAGGUCCAACCUGAUGCUGAGUUAUCUCUGUUUGGGAAUAUUCUAAACCCUAUGCCUUUUCUAUUCAUCAUAAUUUGUUAAACAUAUAAAUUAUCUCAUGGAGAACUUUAAUUGACAUCCUGUUGAUAGGUACGUGCAAAACUGCAGUACUGAACAUGGUUUUGCAUUUGCUAGAGCCAGCUAUGCUAAAACGUACUGAACCUAAAUAUAUGCUACUGCAAUACAGUCGGUCGUUAUCCAAAAUUCAGUUAGCUCACAUGCAGGACCUUAGUUGUGAGAUUUCAGUCAACUAUGCAGUACAGUUGGCCGUUAUUCGAAAUUCAAUUAACCAUCUGAUGUACCCUGCCAUAAUAACAAAACUAAAUCCGCUUGAUCUGUUGUACAAUCCACGCAUUCAUAUAGCUCGGUAAUAUGUGUUGACAUUCAUAUAUAUAACACAGUGCAUGCUAGUUUUCUAAGAAAGCUUCCAAAGCCUCGUACAGUAAUGUCUUUGGGGUGAAUAGCUCCCAUGCGACGUCGUUGGUGUGAACUGUCUCUCAUGCGACGUCGUUGGCUGUAAUAGCUUGCAUGCGACAUCUUCGUUGGAAAAAAUAGCUCCCAUGCGACACACCAUUUACGCGACUAGUUGGCUGUCCGUUAGGCUGAGAUUUGGUUAGGACACUGGGGGUUAUGUGCUCUGACUGGUGGGGUCCACCUAUGGCCACGUAGUCAAGAGUCAACCGUCCACGACUCGACCGGUGACUGUGUGACCGUGCUCGACUCGCCCGUGCUGGACUGGGCGAGCGGCGCCACCGUAAGCAUCUUCUCCGGCAGUGGUUUCUUCUCCGCAGUGGUGGAGCGCAGUUCUCGGCAGCGGCAGAGCUAUUGCGAGGUGAGCCCGAAACCCUAGUCCCACUCCCCAGAACUUUGAGGGAUCUGUGGCCUCAUGCUGCCCUCUGUUUCUUGGCGAUUUAGAAUCGGGCUCCAUUGGAUCCGGGGGUUGUUUCUUCUCCGCGGCCCGGUGGUGGAGCGCCUAUCCCUGCAGCGGCUCUUGCGAGUGAGUAUUUUCCAAACACUACUCCCAUUCCACUGAAUUUUGAAUAAAUCUGUGGCCUCAUGCUGCCCCUGUUGCUUGAUUGGAUAGGAGAUGGAGCGAGGGCUAGAUGAGAUGGAGCGAGGAGACGGGCUGCCCCGAGGAGACAGUGCUUCAAAUCGGUAAUGCCACCCUCUUUUCUUGGCGAUUUAGAAUUGAACUCGAUUUGGUAGUGACUGCCGCCGCUGCCUGCCAUUGACAAAACAGGGGAGGUUCAGGUUCUGCCACCACAUUCGCAAUUAUAGUGGAAUUUUUUCCCUGUAAAGCCAAGCUCAGUGAUGGCAGUGUCCAAGACAUUGAUAGAGAUACCACCGUGAGGUUGGAUGUCGAUUUUGCAGAUGUUGAUCCCCAGGAAUUGGAGAUCAUGAAGGAGAAGGCCGUGGGCAAUUUGGUGGAGAGAAUUGGGGAGAGUAUUGUUUGGGGUCUAGAACAAGAGGUAUCUCUGCAACGUUUCGAUAACUAUAAUGGUGAAUAUGUGAGAAUUGAAGAUGGAGAAUCCAUGGUUGCUGAAAUUGAUCAGCAAGGAGGAUGGGCAAGCAAACAAGUAACAUUUUAUGCAGAGCUAAUUUAUCUGCAAACUCAUUCCAGAGUUGGUUAUGUGCCAUCAAAGAUGGCUGCACAGAUGGAAGAUGAUGAGUGGGUUUCACAAAAGAAGAUGUUGGCAUUGUUGACUGAACCGACUAUAGUAGCUGAAGAUACUGGGAUUGAUGCAGAUGGAGAGGAGGGAACCCAUGGUGCUAGGAAGAUUGUUGUUGACUGGAAUGUAGUAGAGUUGAAUGAAAAAACAGAUUUGGUCAUUACACCAAUAUCUGACAUUGAUAUGGCCGAAAUGUUUAGCAUUCAAGUUGAUGACAAAGAUAAGGAGAAGGAUGACAGUUCUUUGCCAGCUGAAGGUAACACAGGCCCUAGAAAUGCAAAUGAGGAUGAAGAACACCUGAUGAGAGAGGCUAUAGAUGAUGUGGAUGAUGCAGAUGAUAAUGAGCUGGUUUGUUUGUAUGACAAAGAGAACCCAGUUAUUGAGGUGGGAAAGUUGUGGCCAAGCAUGAAGGAGUUUAGGAUGUCUUUCAGGACCUAUGCAGUGAAAAAAGAGUUUGAUGCCAAGACUAUGUGGACUGAUCGAAAGAAAUUUUAUGCUCGGUGUAAAUGUUAUGAUGGUGAUGGCAAUCCUUGCAAAUGGUACUUGUCUGCCAGACUACAACCUGAUGGAAGUACAGUAAGGGUAAAUCAAAUACCACACCAGCAUACAUGUAUGACCACUUCACAGAGAGUUUCAAAGAUGACAUCACAACUUUGGGUUACAGAGAAGAUUACUCCUAUUUGAGCCAAGACUCCAAACACUACUGCAAAGAGGCUUAAAGUUGACUUGGAGAAGUUGUACCCCAUCCAGCUGCAAUAUACCACAGUGUGGAAAGCAAAACAAAGGGCCAUGAAAUCAUUGUAUGGUGACUGGGCAAAUACAUUUAGGAUGUUGUAUAGUUUUAAAGCAGAGGUGGAGAAGAGGUCACCUGGGAGUGUGGUGGAGAUAGAUACAGAGGUAACAGAGGAUGGCAAGGUUUUAUUCAGCAAGUUUUUUAUGUGUUUGAAGCCUUGCAUAGAUGGAUUCAAAGCAGGUUGUCGUCCAUAUUUGAGCAUAGACUCAUCUUUUUUGACUGGAAAGUGGAAUGGUCAGUUGGCUGCAUGCAAUGCUCUAGAUGGACACAACUGGAUGUUCCCAAUUGCAAUAGGAAUGUUUCAAUCAGAGAUAGAGGCAUCAUGGAUAUGGUUCAUGAUGCAACUGAAAAGAUGCAUAGGGCCAGUUUCUCCUUUGGCCAUCCACACAGAUGCAUGUAAAGGGUUGGAAAAUGCAGUAAAAAGUGUUUUCCCCCAUGCUGAGCAGAGGGAGUGCUUUGGACAUAUGUGGAUGAAUCUGAUAAAAAAAUUCAGAGGAGAUGAAUUUGGGCGCAUGUGGCCAGCAGCAAGAUCCUACACCAGACAGACACAUUCCUAUCACCUUGGUAAGAUAUUGGCAUCAUGUAGUAAUAAUGAAUUUUCUUCAUGGUUGAACACCCACCAUUCUCUGUUGUGGUAUAGAUCAGGUUUUAAUACUGCCAUAAAAUGUGAUCAUAUCAAUAACAACUUGGCAGAAAGUUUUAACAACAAAGUGAAGCAUUUGAAAGACUUGCCUGUGCAUGACAUGGUGGACCAAAUAAGGAUCAUGAUCAUGCGUUUGUGGGAGUUGAGAGGAAAAAUUGCUAAUAUUUUGGAAGGGGACAAGCUUCCAGCAGUGGUACAACAGGUGGUCAACAGGAGUAGAAAUCUUUCACAUCUAUCUGUUGAGAAAUCUUUCUUGUGGGGUGCUGAAGUUAGAGAUACAAAGAGUGGCAAGAGGCAUGUGGUAAAUACUGAGUUGCAUGAGUGCACUUGCCAAGAGUGGCAACACAUUGGAAAACCAUGUGAGCAUUCCAUACUUUUUUUGGCAUCUAAACCCAGGUUAAAUAUGCACCCAUAUUUGCAUGAGUAUUAUUCAGUACAAAAAUUCAAAGCUGCAUAUGCAAGUCCAAUUCCUGCACUGACUGACCAAUCUCAGUGGCCUGAGGUGGAAAUAGAAUUUACCUUGUGUCCCCCUGUCACUAGAAGAAAGGCUGGGAGGCCUAAACAGAGCAGAUUUAAAGCUUGGUUUGAGAAAGGUGGUUGUAGUAAGAAGGGGAAAAAGGAAAAGGAAAAGAAUGAUAAGCCCAAAAGGGAUCAAAAAGGUAACAAAAAUAGGUGCAAGUUGUAUGAGGUACUUGGGCACAUAAUUGGUUCAUCCAAGUGCAUCUACACUCCUCGGAGGCCAAAGUAUGUUUAUGUUACUGUUUUUGCAAGUUAUUGAUUUUGCUACUUGUUCUAGUAUCUAACCAAGUCAAAUGCUUUAUUUUUUAGGAGGAAGCGUGCAGAAAAAGCCCCACCGCUUGUUGUUGAACAAUGCUGGCCAGUGAAAAAAGCAAGACUCAGUGGCUAUAGAAGGAAGAGCACUAAGCAGAUAAUGUUUGGUGACAAAGAUAUGGAGCUAACUGAAACUGUUACUGCUGAACAUGAGCUAAGUGUUUGUGUUUUGGACGAUGUGAUGCAUACUGAAUCUGUUUUGCAGACGUUAGGGCAAUCUGAAACUGUUGCAGAUGAAGCAACUGUUGUGCUGCCAUUCGAAUCUGCUUUGACAACUGUGUUGCCAUGUUUGGAGGUUGUGCUGCCAAGUGUUGAGUUGCAAACUGAAGUAGUUGAACAAUGUGUGCCAUCUACUCAAUCUGCAGAAGUGCAAACUGAAGAAGUGAGACAUGGUCAGGUGCAAAAGUUGAGGGGGCCUAGUGGAGUUUGCAAGGGGCCAAAAAGCAAGAGCAUCAGCAUCAACAAACUAUGCGCCGUAGAACCAAACGGUGGAAAAAAGCAGAAGAAAUCGAGUGGUAGAAAGAAGCAAAAGAAAUAGAGUCGAAAUCAUUCAAAUUUGAUGUGAAAACUUAAGUUUGUUGUCAUUUGAUGUGAAAACUUAUGUUCUUUCAUGUGAUAACUUAUGUGCUAUGAUGUUGAUUUGACUUGAAAUAAAAUUCAAAUUUGAACCGAUAUUCAAAUUUGAACCUAUCUCCAAUAUUUUUUGAGUUCAUUUGUUUGUUCUGUGAUGUUGCAUCGUUUUAUGUACUACUAUGCACUUUAGUUCAUAAAUCCAACCCUUUUUGUGAAUUCCAACUCAUAGUCACGGACAAUGUUGUCCAAACAGGCUCCAAAGUAAGGGAAAACGGCCCCAUUUUUAAGCAAGUUUUUUUCGACCUUCUCAAAAUCACCCAAAAAAGAUUUUCUUAGCUUAUAUUAUACCUCUAUAGGAUCAAUACGAAGUCUCACCUUUCUUUGAAUAAGUAUUCAUAUUAUUUAAUUUAUUUUUGAAAAAACACCCUUUAAUACAAAGUUAGCAAUAAAACAAGUUUAAAAAUUUUAAAUGCAAAAAUAACUUCAGAUCCUCCUUAGUCACUCUAAAAUGAAGCUAAGGUGAUGUUUUUGAUUUUUUUGCAUUUUCAAAACCUCAAACCCUCUUCUCACUCCUGUGAACUCCAUGCAACCUGAGUCGAGAUAGUCCAAUUUGUGAAGGUUUUUUCAGGCAAAGAUCAUUAGAUCAAGUUUAUCAUUUUAUAUCAUAACUAUGUAACAUAAAAAGGCUAUAUGCGCAGGUUUUUCAUUUUUUAGAUUUUUUUUGAAUUAGUUAUACACAUUUGAAUGUUCGGUCAAACCUUUCAAAACCCCGUUGACUGCCUCCAAACCCCAUGUAACCCUAGCGCCAAACGUCCACCGUCGAUCUAACCCUAACGCCAAACUGCGGCCGUCGGAUAGGCCUUCUAGAAGGAUUCCGUGGGGGCGAUCCGUGGGCUCCAAUCUGAUUGGCCACCGUUUUUUCUCUCUGACGAACAGAUAACGUUGAGCGGGGGAUCAUCUAAGUGACCGUUGGGCCGAGCGGAUCGGGCCCGGCAGAGCCUGGCGUGCGUGCGCACGGCCGUCGAGAGGGGGAUGGGCUGCAUGCGAGAGGGUCAAUGACAUGUGGGCCAUCCCUGUCCCAUGCAUGCCAUGCAACGUCGCAGCCAAGCUAUUCUUUGCUCGUGAACACCUAGCCCGCCAUUGCAUGCACGCAUCGACGCAGUAAAGCACGGCAGGGGCGCAGCGUAUAGGUAUGUCGCAUCUAAGCUAUUUUAACAAAUGCAUGUUUGAACGAGACGGACGCGUCGGUGGUGCAGAUGUGGCGCAGCUCCUUUUUCAGUGUCACGCGCGGAUGAACGGGCCUGUUUCCCACGCGGCGUCACCGCCGAUGCAAGUGCACGAAACGAUGCAACUCGCCUGGAUGCUCUGGCCGCCGUUUUUUGAAUUAAUGCCCGCAAUUACUUAUGCCAGUGCGAACGGAGAAGAGAAAACGAUCCAGAAGGCACCGUGUACACAUUGACCACAGCUGCAAUGCGGCCAUAAAAGGGCACCAUUUCCUCAUCCUCUCACACUCAUCUCUCAAGCCUCCUCCCCUUCUUCUCUCAAGCCUCCUCCCCUUCUUCUUUUCGAGCCAAAUCCACCACUCGAGCCACCAUGCAGUUCAACGGCCCUACCUACCGUCGCCCUCGCACCGUGCCGGAGAGGCAGUACCCGGCCGGAGUCGUCGUCGAGAAUAGCCUGAGGGUGUGGGCCAUUUCUAGGUGGAGGGGCCCUAGAGAGUUGGCUCGCUUCUUCCUCCAAGCCGGCUACCGCCACCUCCCUCCGGGCACUCCGCCCAUGUUCCACCUCCACGAGCAGUACGAUGGCAACGCCAACGGCCUCGUCAUCGGCCUCCACGUCACCUUCACCAACCCCUACGAUGCUCACCACCUCCUCGGCCAGGUGUUCUGGUGUGGAUGCGAGUUUAUCGCGUUCACGACCUACAACAUCUUCACCAACUUCCACCACAUCUUCCCUCACCCCAACGGCAUGCACAGCCUCCCCUACCAGAUGCCGGAGAACGACGAGUGAGGGGCCCAAGGAGGAGGGGCCAAGGAGUGGCAAGGAGGAGGGGCCAAGGAGUUGUUCAAGUGCGAGUCUUCUAUCUAUGUAGUUUGUGUUUGUGUUGGUUCGGGUGUGUGUGCCCGUGUCUUCUAUAUAUCUAGUUUUAAUUAUUUUACUUUCAUGUUUUAUGAACUAUAUGUAGUGGGGGGAUGCCCCUCUAUAUGUUCUAUCUAUCUAUGCUACUAGGGUACCCGAUGCCCCUCUAUCUAUCUAUAUGUUUUUUCGGUCCUAAAGUUUCCCCAUUGCAUUUUAUUUAUGUGGCCAUGUGUACUAAAAAAUGCACUAAAACAUGAUCCAAUCAUAGAAGUUGUUGUUAGCACGUGUCUAGUUAAUUAUCUUCCUUUUAUGUUUUAUGCACUAUAUGCAAUAAAAAUGGCGCUUCGUUGAAAUAAACUAGAACCAAACAAAUGCAACUUUUUUGUUUCACAAAGACUACAAGUUAGACUGCUAACUAGAACCAACCUUUUGUUUUAGCCGAAACAACACGGGACCCUACAAUCGGACACGAUAGCUUAUGCAUAAAAAUAGCUCAAAUAAUUAUCAGAUGAGUUAUCUAAAAAAAGGUGAAGGCAGGAAACUUAAAAUUUGUAAAAUAACCUAAAGCCGAAAAGAUAUAUUGAUGUCAAUGACCGUGUGCACUUUUUUUGCACUAGCUACACUUCUUUUAUCAACGGGCCUGGGUAUGUUCUAUUCGGCCUGGGCCCUGCGUAACUUCUAUAUGGGCCUGGCCUUUUCGGGCAACUGUGGGACGAAUUUUUUUUCUUUUUCUCCCUCUACCACUGAAACUGAAACUGAUGACUAACUGAAGAACUGAAAAAACAAAACAGAGUAAAGAAGACAUGCCGAAUUUGUACAACGCAACACUUUUAUUCAAAUGUACAUAUCAUUACGAUUACAAAUGAUGCCCAAUCUAUUCACUUACGACUAAUUAUCAUCACAUAAACAAAUGCGAGACCAAUUACACAAACAUAAAAAAAUGCGGCCAUCAGUCCCAUCAAAUUGCCCUGCUUCUGCAAUUCGAUGAGUUUCUUCAUCUGCUUGUUCAGCUUCUUCAGCUCUGCCGUCACUCCUGCAUCCCCCACAGUAGCACCAAUGGAAGGGCAGGCGCCCCCGAUGGAAUUGCCAGAUCCAGGGGCCCCGGAUCCAGAUGCGCCCGAUCCAAACUUGCCCAACUUCUCCGCCUCCAACGGUAAAUCGAGCUCCCCUGAUGCACCCUCCAGUUGAAUCCGCUCUAUGUACUCAUCUAGCCACUCAAAAUGGGUGCAUUGCUUCAAUUUCGGAAAUCGGAAAGAUGAACCCUAAAUCCCAAAUCCGAUGGGGAAAAAUGGGCAAAUAUGAAAUUGGGAGAUAAAAACCAAAAUUGGCAUAUUGAGAAGUAAAAUCUCACCUUUCCCUGCUCUGGUUUGCUCUCGCAUUUCACGAAUUCCCGCCCAAGGUUGCCAUUCUUGUCGGUCGGCUCGGUGUCCUCUUGUACCAAUGCUGACCUGGAUAAGUUAGUGGGUCCCACGCUGUGGGUCCCGCUCACCUGACCAAUGCUGAGUUGGAUAAGUUAGUGGGUCCCAUGCUGUGGGUCCCGCUCACCUGAUUCGAGUUUUAAACAUGUGUCUUUGGAUUAGGCAGCAGUGUCGCACGGGAGCUAUUUUUUCCAACGAAGAUGUCGCAUGAGAGCGAUUACAACCAACUACAUCGCAUGAGAGACAAUUCACAUCAACGACGUCGCAUGGGAGCUAUUCACCCAAUGUCUUUGCCAUAUCAAAAAAUUUAGAAGUGGUAACUACAGAGAAGCAUCUAUUCCAAGUUUGAGUAUAAGGGAACACUUGAACUGCUUGUGAGCAGUGCUGCUUCUUUAGAACUGUUUUACACAAUCUAAUUUAUUUUUUUCCUACAACCAAUGAAAGCCAACUUUUAUAACAGAUAAACUGAGAUGUUUAUCUGUAAAAACCUGCAAUCUCAUCUAACCUAAGUGGCUACGUACAUAAGAUUCUUGUUAACUUUUAUAUGAUAUCAAUUUUCCCGGCUUCAUAAAUUCCGAAGUCAUUUGUUUUACUGGUCACCUAAUUGCGUACAUAUCUGUACCUUUCCUUAUCAUGAGCAUAUGCACAGUAACAAAAGAAGAAAAAAACAGUGUGAAACAUGUGUGUGUGUGUGUGUGUGUGUGUGAAUAUAUAAAUUCUGCCAUAUCGUUGACCUCAGUGUCAUUUGGAUUGUCCUGACUGAUUGUGACACUAUGUUAAUUGGCGCUUUCAUUCAGCUAGGCUCACAACCUCCAUAACUUAGGGCUUGGCUGCGAAUCGAUGUACUUCAGCUUGGUUUUGGAUGCUGAUAUAUCAUCAUGUGCAGGUUCAGUUUAAAUACACAUGCAUAACCUGGGAUUGUAGACGAUAUGCUCACUGACUAUAGAGAGAUUCGAACCAAGGCAAGGUACAUAGACAUUAUAUUCAUGAAAUAUGUUAACAGUCCAAGGUUCGUAUAUUUCAAUUAUUUUUUCAUGGGACACGAUGAGUCACUUUAUGCAAAAAGUUCUCGUAUGUUUCGUGUUUUCUAUUUUUGCAAGACAAAAGUGCCAUUUUAUCAUAAUAGACGGGCGCCGCAAUGCGCACCAUCAUGGUCUAGUUUACGUUACAAGCACUCCUCCAUCCAUAUGCUUACUCACGAGUCAUAGUGCAAGCAAGAAUAAAUGCUUUUCAUUAAUUUUUCUUUAACAGUUAGGUAUCCUAUCAUUGUUAUUUCAGAUGAACUUUGAGAUUGAAAGGGAUGACAAGGUUCGGAAUGAUGUACGCACAAAAGUAAUCCAGAAGGGUGUUCGACAAUAAUGCUGCAACUAAAGAAGGAUUACUUCAAUGGUUAUACUGCUGAAGAAGUGUUAUCCAAUAAGCCACCUAAUAGUACUUACGAGAAUUGGAUCAAGCACCUUCUUUUCCAGCAUGGGGUAUGCACCAAGAUACUGUAGUUCUGGGAGCUCUCCUUCAUCAGCACAGAUCCGUGUUGUAGAAGAGAUAAUGGAACAAAAUCAUAGAGGUAAGAGAUGUAAAUCAUAGGUACUUAUCUUGUUUAUCUUUGUGUUCUGGUUGUUUCUUUUGAUAGUGAACGUAACAACUAAUUUGUUUGUGAAUAAGACAAUCGUCUUCAGUUCCUGUAACGGAAGUUGCACUAUCGAGUCCUUUGCUAUCUAUUUAUGGUUUGAUGCAAAUCCAAUCAUCCAAAGUAACUUAAGAAAUAACAAAUGUUUGUAAUGAGAAAUGCAUGGUUGUUGCUGAGGUAACACAAAGGCAUGAGAAUAACAUCGUAAGCAUGGUUUUUAAUCCUGAAAUCUAGUAUGCUUGCUUUUCAACAAAAUGAUAUAGGAUGGUAGAGUUUGAACUAAAUAAAUUAUUGUCCUAGCAUAGUUGCUUCUUGUAACCUAGGUUACUGACUUGAUAUCUCAUAUUAUUGACGAUUGCUGCCUUUCAACAUUGGCAAAUGAAAUCUAGCUCUUAGUUAUACAUGUUUUUAAACCAUUAGAAGUCACAAUUAGGUUUACCAUUUCAUUUGCCCAUCUGCAUGCUUGCCUUGACAUUUAAUAAUGUACUCAGAUUCAUAGUUUGACAGAUUGUAAGCUUCCUAGUGGUACUCUUAUACCUUGUUAGCUUAUGUGUUUUUGUCUCGUUAAGAUGCAACGUUGUUGUGUUUCCUCAAUUUAUAGGCAUCGAGAGGAGUUAGGUGCAAGACUUGAAUCACAAGAUAGAGAAUUUGAAGAAAUUCACAGGGAGCAUCAAGAAGAAGCGAAAGGAGACAUAUAACCUAAUUGGCCUUCUCUUAAGGGCUCAAUCAACACCCAACAGUCCCAACCCAAACCUGACGAGUCCUGGUCCAAACCUGAUGGUGCAUGAAGGCCAUACUGUUGUGAUGGAAAGAUAGUUGGAAUCCCAAGACAACGCAUGUGGUCCUUUAGUUAUCUAUAAAUAUUAGUUGUCUAUUUAAAAGAUGAUUGAAUAUAUAAUAUGAUUUUCCUCCAUUUCAAUUUAUAAUGUGAUUUGGAUCUUUACUUAUUUAUAUAACAUGAUGUGAAUUAAAUAUUUACUCUCAUAUGCAUUUGCACUAAAGUGUAUUUGAUAAUUCAUUGUGAAUUUAAUUUUUUAUGAAGUGAAUAUAUUUUGAUGGUGUCAUCUUCAUCAGUAUUGAAAGAAGUGACGCUAAUAGUGGGAUAAUAUGUAUGCUCGGGUGUUGGUCUGACAUAAAGUCAGUGACGUUGCUUCGUCAUUGAAUAUAUUAUAAUAUGGCAUAUUUUAUCCUAACAUGUGACAUUACUUGACUGUCACAGGAAUAGCAAGUUGUUGACGUUCCAGAAAACGUCACUGAAGGUCCCAUUUUCGGUGACAUUUCUUUGCGCGUGCCGUCACUAGGAGUAAUCUGUGACGGGGAUUCUGUGACGAUGCCUGUGACGCUCGUAAUACGUCACUGAGGGGUAAUUUGUGACAUUAUUAGCUAUUCGAUGACACUUUUUGGCUCGUCACGGUAGGCCACAUCUCUUGUAGUGUCAGGCUGCACCGGCCGCCUCGCCGUUGUCUUCGUCUCCCGACUCCAUUCGCGAGCGAGAUGGAGCUGGAUCCAUCAGAGUCACUGCGGUUGCACAUGAGGGGAUGUUAGAUCAGCGGUACGCGAGCUCGCGUCGACUUUCCAGCCCUUCACGUGAUGUACCUUGGUCGAGGGUGGAAGACGUUCGCCCAUAUCCACCGCUUGACGGCGGGGCUCACCCUCCAUUUCAAGCUGAUGGAGGGCGGCCUCCUCUCCGUCAAGGUCUUCGGGUGCUUCGAGACUCGGGCAAGGUGCUGCGUUGAGAGCUCUUCUGAUAGCGAAGACUCCUCCACGGGCGGGAGUGACGAGGAGGACAGCGGCAGCGACGACGAGGGUAGCAGGCGGUAGGAUGACGGGUCCGACUACGUGUCGGGCGCCGCUCCGUGCGGCACCGGCGAUCCCAUCAUCCGUGUCGCCGGCUUCCUGAACUUCUCGGGAUCGUCUCCUUGGGCGGCUGGCUUUGGGAGGCUAUGGAAGAGGAAGAGGGCGGGCAGCAAGGCCGUCAAAUCGGAGUACGCGGGCACCGACGCCUUCGACGCAUGCUGACGUCCUGCCGCCUCGUCUUCGAGCUCUGCUUCCGGCGCCGCCAUCACCAUCCAGCCUUGGGACGGUCGCUGAGAUGUUCUCUUGGUGCCUCCUGCCACCCGUAGCUCGCCUAGGCGCUCCCUUUUGCCCUUUUCGCCUCCUUGACCUGCCUCCUGAGGAGAGGGACAAGAAAGGGGUUACGGGCACCUUAUCUCUUUUUAGUUUGUAAGCCUUUAGGCUUUAGCUGAAUUUAAAACUUGUAAUCCCACCAUUCAUGUUUUUCAUUCCCUAUGGGCUGUACCUGAGUGGAAUGUUCUUAAUGAAAAAGGGAUGCUUGCCGGGUCAUUUGUUUGCCGGUAGAACCCACGACAAGGAGUAAGUCCUUGAAAGAUAAACAUUUCCUUGCUCGGCAACAGGCCCUGCCGUCUUCCCACUUCGCUCGACCCUUCUCACGCUUUCGGCGGAGGCACAGAUGAGGUGGGUUCGGGCUCCUCGUUUCAUCCUUUUGCCGCCGCGACUACGACUAAACUUGGCCCCAGGAACGAGCCCUUGGGCCUAGAGUUUUUAGGAGAGCACGGUAGCUUUGGAAAAAACGAGGUUUCACAUACCUCAGUCCAUGAGGGAAUGCAUGAUAAGGGAUGAAGAACUUAUCUAAAGUUGUAACCCCCGGCAACUCUGGUUUGCCGUGGGAGAAUCUUUGUAGUUGCAGCCCCCAGCAAUACUGGCUUGCCGGGGUCUGGAUGCCGGUCUGUCCUUCUUUUCUUUUUCGUCCUCAAGUGAUCCGGCAAGGAUAUCUGUGAGUCCUGCGAACCAAAGAAGACAAAAGAACAGCGAAGAGACGCACACUCGACCUCUAAGCUAGGGGUUAGUCGCCGCUUAAGCACUAUCAACCCUAACCAAGGACGAGACUUGACCUAGCAUGCAUGCUAUAACUUAGGGCGCCAGCACUUCAUUUAUUUAUGCUCAGGGUCUGCGCCUGGCUUUGUACAAAGGGUUACAUGCAUCAUCGGCAAUGCUUGUACAAAAGGUGGCUUGCCGAGGGGCCCGGCAAGCCGCGCCUCAUGGGUAAAACUUGUGAAGAUGCUCAAUGUUCCAGGAGUUACUCACCGGAACAGCAUCUUCGGUCUCCAGGCGGACGGCGCCGAGCCUGGUGACUCGUAUUACCCAAUAAGGGCCUUCCCACUUUGGCGUCAACUUGUUGGAAUUCUUGGCCGAUUGAACGCGCCGAAGGACAAGGUCGCCUUCCUCAAGGCUCCGGGCAUGAACCUUGCGGCUAUGGUAGCGGUGCAAGGCUUGCUGGUAGCGUGCUGCUCUUACAGCCGCCCGAAGACGAUCUUCCUCAAGGAGCACUGCGUCAUCUUGCCGCAAUUGCUCUUGCUCAAGCUCGUCAUAAGAGAGCACUCGAGGUGACCCGUAUAUGAGUUCAGUGGGGAGAACUGCUUCCGCCCCGUAUACCAGGGCAAAAGGUGUCUGGCCGGUGGCUCGAUUUGGCGUCGUCCUGAUCGACCAAAGAACCGUCGGCCACUCAUCAAUCAGUGCCUUCCACUCUUGUGCAGCCUGUCAAAGGUCUUGGUCCUCAAGCCUCACAGUACUUCAGCAUUUGCCCUCUCAGCUUGACCAUUGCUUCGCGGGUGAGCAACGGAAGCAAAACAGACUUUGCUGCCGAGGUCUUAGGUAUAUUGCAUGAAGGUGCGGCUUGUGAACUGGGUGCCGUUGUCGGUGAUAACCCUGUUAGGUACGCCAAAAUGACACACUAGUCCCUUGAAGAACUUGACGGCUGACUGAGUUGUGACCUUCCUCACUGCCUCCACCUCUGGCCACUUUGUGAACUUGUCGAUUGCAACGUACAAGUACUCAAAGCCCCCGACAGCGCGGGGGAAAGGGCCCAGUAUGUCAAGCCUCCAGACCGAGAAGGGCCAGGAGAGAGGAAUGGUUUGGAGGGCUUGGGCUGGCUGAUGGAGCUUCUUUGAAUGGAAUUGACAUGCUUCACACCUGGUGACUAGUGUCAUCGCAUCCUGGAGGGCGGUGGGCCAGAAGAAGCCUUGCCGGAAUGCCUUGCCGGCAAGGGCCCUUGACCCAAUGUGGGAUCCACAUAUGCCUCCGUGUAUCUCCGCCAACAGCUCCAGUCCUUCCUCUCGAGGGAUACACUUCAAUUUCACACCGUUCGGCCUCUUUCUGUACAGGACGUCAUCGAUGAACUGGUACAUGGUAGAGCGACGGGCUACUUUCUCCGCUUCUUCCUGCUCCUCAGGAAGUUCCCCUGUUUGGAGGAAUCGGACGGUAUGUUGUGCCCAUGCCAGAGCCUGGGGCUCGACGGUGAGGGCUAAAGGCAUUUCCUCCGCUAUGGGAGCGGCUGUCUCGAUGGCAAGAGCUUGACGCUCCGCCGGAGCCAGUCGUCCCGUGGUGGGCUCAGUAUCCUCGGCAACAUCCUUGCCGGCGGCUCCGGGGAGCUCGGCGGGAAAGUACUUGCCGGGCCCUGAUUUCCUCCUCUUAUUCUGCUCUGUUGAUGGAUCAACGGAUGGCUGAGUUAGCUGAAGCACAAAGGUACCUGGGUCCACAGGUAGCUUGAGAGCAGCGCGUUUGGGUAGGUAAUCGGCGAUAUCGUUCUCCGCUCGGGGAACGUGUUCAGCCUAUAUACCGUCGAAACGCUCUUCCAGCUUUCUCACUUCAUCGAUGUAGGCCUUCAUCAACGGGCUCUGGUAAUCCUUGUUGACUUGCUUGAUGACAAGCUGCGAGUCCCCCCUGACGAUGAGUUUCUUGAUUCCGAGGUCCGCCGCGAUCCUAAGACCGGCAAGCAGCCCUUCGUACUCUGCCGUAUUGUUGGUUGACACCUCCCUGGGAAAGUGCAUCUGGAUUACGUACUUGAGGUGCUCUCCGGUGGGCGCGACAAGUAGUACACCAUCCCCGACACCUUGUAAGGAGAAAGCUCCAUCAAAGUACAUGACCCAAUCACAACUUGCCUCCUUGCCGGGGAGAGCAGUCUCUUGGGCUUCUUCGUCAAGCGUUGCGGUCCAUUCUGCAAUGAACUCCGCUAGGACUCGGCUCUGAAUCGUUGAGGUACUUUCAAACUUGAGGCCAGAGCUGGACAGCUCCAGUGCCCAUUCCACAAUUCUUCCCGUUGCGUACGGAUUGUGCAAUAUCCGCUGCAGAGGGAAGCGAGUGACGACAGUAAUCUCGUGUGCCUGGAAGUAGUGACGCAGCUUCCUCGAGGCCAUAAGAAGGCCGAAGAGCAGUUUCUGCACGCCGGAGUACCUUGACCUAGCCCCCUACAGGAGGGAACUAACAAAGUAGACCGGGUGCUGCAUCAUUUUCUUCUUCGGCGGCACGUCAACUAGCUGUGUCGUCUCUGUAUUGGCGGUGUCGGGCUCUGCCGCUGCCAUGACUUCGUCAUCAACCCCUCUCUGGGCCACCAGUGCGGCGCUGACCACCUGGUCCGUUGCCGCUAGGUAUAGCAGCAACGGCUCCUGCGGCCUAGGCGCAACUAGUAUUGGCGCGGAGGAGAGGUACUUCUUCAAACCUUGCAAUGCUGCUUCGGCUUCUGGCGUCCACUCCAUUGGGCCCGCCUUUUUCAGGAUCUUGAAAAAGGGAAGGGCGCGCUCGGCAGACUUGGAAAUGAACCUGCCCAUGGCGGCGACGCAGCCAGCAAGCCGACGCACAUCCUUGAUUUGCUUGGGUGCCUCAAUCUGCUCUAUAGCUUUGAUUUUGUCCGGAUUGGCCUCUAUCCCACGUUGUGACACCAAGAACCCGAGAAGCUUGCCGGACGGGACGCCAAAGACGCACUUCUCAGGGUUCAACUUGAGAUUGAUCUUGCGCAGGUUUGCAAAUGUUUCUUGCAAAUCUGGUAUGAGGGUUGCCCUGUCCUUGGUUUUGACCACUGUGUCAUCCAUAUAAGCUUCCAUAUUUCUAUGGAGCUGGGGUUCAAAACCAAUCUGGACCGCCCUUGCGAACGUCGAACCAUCACUCUUCAACCCGAAAGGCAUCCGCAUUAAACAAUACGUACCACAUGGGGUGAUGAAUGUUGUUUUCUCUUCGUCUUCUCUUGUCAUGAAGAUCUGGUGGUAGCCGGAGUAGGCGUCGAGGAAUGACAGCAGAUCACACCCAGUCGUGGAGUCGACGAUCUGGUCGAUGCGCGGCAACGGGAAGGGGUCUUUAGGGCAAGCCUUAUUGAUAUCUGUGUAAUCAAUACACAGUCUCCACUUCCCAUUUGCCUUGCGCACCAUGACCGGAUUGGCCAACCACGUUGGAUGGAGCACUCCCCUUACCAAGCCCGUUGCUUCCAGUUUCCGGAUCUCUUCAGUAAUGAACUCUUGCUGUUCCAAAGCUUGCUUUCUGACCUUCUGCUUGACGGGCCGCGCAUGAGGGCAGACAGCAAGGUGGUGCUCAAUCACCUUCCUGGGAACACCGGGGAUGUUGGAAGCUUGCCAUGCAAACACAUCGACAUUCGCCCGCAGGAAGGUGACGAGCGCGUCUUCCUAUUUGUCGCCAAGGGUGGAGCUUAUGGUAAAAGCUCCUCCCGUGGCGUCCUCAUUGGCAGAGACCUUCUUGGUUCCCGGCGGCACGGCCCUGGGCUUCUUGUUCCCGCCGGUGGAGCUCUCUGGCACGUCCUCGACGGCAGCGCUACACUCCGAAGAGGUGCGCUUGCCGGAGUGGGUGUCCGAGGUCUCACCGGUCUUCUUCUUAUUCUUCCCUCCCGGGGUCCCAGCGGCAGGAGCAAGUGCCCUGGCGACGGCAGCUGCUGCAACUGCUUGCUGGUAUAGUUGGUCAGCGCAAACCAGCGCAUCUUUCUUGUCGGAGGGGAUGGUGAUGAUCGUCAUAUGUCCUGGCAUCUUCAGGGUGUUGUAGGCGUAGUGUGACGCCGCCAUGAACUUGGCCAGCGCUGGGCGGCCAAGUAUCCCGUUGUAGGGCAAGGGGAUCUUGGCAACAUCGAACACGAUCCUCUCCGUCCUGAAGUUCAGGUCGCUUCCAAAAGUCACGGUCAGCGUGACCUUUCCCUUGGGUUGGAUUCUUCCCGGGUUGACCCCCUGAAACGUGCCCGUCUCUUCGAGGUCUCCAUCAGGAAUCUGCAGUUUCUCGAUCACGGCAGGCGAGAUCAAGUUCAGACCAGCCCCGCCAUCGACUAGCAUCUUUGUCACCUUGAGGUUACGUAUUGUUGGUGAAACCAACAAUGGCAAGCACCCGACUGCAGUAGUGCGAUCAGGGUGGUCCUCAGUGUCGAAAAUGAUAGGUGUGCUGGACCACUUCAGUGGCCUUUGGGCAUCAAACGACGGCUCUGCCGCUGUAAUCUCUCGCGCCCACUGUUUAAGCUGGCGGUGAGAAGUGUGCAGCGAGACGCCGCCGUAGAUGCACAUGGCCUCUGUAGCUUUCUGAAACUCUUGGUCGCCGGAUUCGUCGUCCUCUUCGUGAUCGUCGUCUUCUGGCUUUCUGUCACGGCCCCGGGCGGGCCUCUCCUGUUGCUUAUCCUUGCCGCGAUGACCCGCCUGGCCGUCAUGCUUCUUGUCGGACCCCUCAGCACCGUCUGGGCCCUUCUCCUUGUCCCGCCUCUCAUACUCAGCCCUCUGCUUCUCAGCGAGGAGCUCAACCUGUCGGCAGUCCUAGAGAGCAUGGCCCUUGGUGCGAUGGAUCUUGCAGUAUCGCUUGUCGGAGUUUCCCGGCUUCUCAGCAGCCGCCAAGUCCUGGCAGGCGACACACCUGGCAACCUCCUUGCCAGGGUCAUCUGCCUUGUUUUUCUUGGUGGAGCCGGCGUCUUCGGAUCCCUCGAUGGCAAGCACGGCUUUUCCUUUGCGCUUCCUGUUGCGGCGCCGGCCUUUCUUUGCCGGGACGGCAGUAUCCUCUUCUGAGGAGUCAGUUUCCACGCCGGCAUCUUCGCCGGGGUACUUUCUUCCCUCUUCGGCUCGGGCACAUUUGUCAGCGAGAACAUAGAGUUCUGCUACAUCUCUCACCUUGUUCAUUGCCAGCUCUUCGCGCAUCUUGCAGUUACGCAUGUUCUGGUGGAACGCGCUGAUGAUGGCGGCAGGGUGAACAUCAGGGAUAUUGUACUGUACCCGGCUGAACCUCUGAAUAUACUUGCGGAGACUCUCGCCUCCCUUCUGGGGAAUGACGUGCAGGUCGCUUGCUUGGCCAUGGGCUUGGUGGCCCCCAGUAAAGGCGCCCACGAACUCAUGGCACAAAUCCGACCAGGAGGAAAUAGAGUCUACCGGCAAGUGCAUCAACCAUGACAUGACAUUGGGUUUAAGCGCCAACGGAAAGUAAGUCGCGGGCUCCGGCAGCUUGCAUCGCGAUGGUGUAGAUGCUGAGGAACUCGGACGGAUGGGUCUUGCCACUAUACUUUUCGCCCACGUCGGGUUUGAAGGUGCGGUGAGUGGGCCACUGGAACUACCGCAGCUCACGGGUAAAAGCCGGACAGCCUACCUCGUAAGGUAGGCCUCCAGGGCUCCCCGGUGCUGGGUGGCUCACAGCAGGCCCUGCUCACCUGUCUGAUUGGUGGCGCGCUUCGCGUUGGCGCUCGAUAGUGGUUCGAGCGUCUUCAUGUUCUCGUUCCCGAAGAACUUGGCGCUGGUCACAGUGGGCCCGUGGGUCGGACAAUACUACGGAGAUCUCGUCGCCCGUGACGUUGCGACGGGCUGGCGUCCAUGGUACCGGGCGAGGAGGAGGCGAGUGCACCGUGGUCGCGGCGCCGCCAGCUCCCCUGCCACUGGUGCGUGGGACUCCGUCGGAGCAUCGACCCGGGGGCUCCACCGGACUCGAUUCGUCUUUGUUAGCCAUCGCAACAAGGCUUCGAAUAGUGGCUCUCCAUUCGUCGAGUUUCCCCGUGGUGGGAGGGAAAUCGAGGAGCAACUGCGCGCGCGCCAGGGAUUCUGCUGGCGUUGGUAGCAGCGAAACCUGCACGGAUCGCACCGCGCUUCGACUUCUGACCAUGUCAGAAUGAGCUCUAUCACGACCCCGCGGUCACAUGCCAUCUUCACCAGCGCCUCGGCGGACGGGCAGGUCUUCUAAAUCCCGGAAGCGGCGCUCGGGGCUCUUUUUGCGGCGAUGCCCGGGGUCCUCGGCGUGAUUACGCCGUUCAUCACGCGCCGCUUGAGAGGAGCGCGCCGUCGGUGUCAGCGUGGGAGUCUUAAAAGCCCAAGCGUCGCCUUCGGGCGGGGUGGCAGCGAUCCUGGAAGGCCCCGCGCCACCCACGGAGGGCCUGGCUCCGUCUUUGGAUUUGGCGGCGUGCGGCCCGUUACCAGGGGCACGAACAUCGCCGCCUCCCAAGCUUCGGCUACUGGGACUGUGUUGGUGUUCGCGAACGGCGCCCCGGGUCCUUUCUGCGUCCGGUCCGCUGCUCGCCCGCGUCGGGACGGGAUGUCCGGCUUCCGAUGGGCCAACCGCCACCGUCAUCUUCUUCUUGGGCGCCAUGAUGAUGAAGAGGCGUCGAACUAACUGCCAGAGCCGAUUCUCACAACUGCGCCCCCUACCUAGCGCGCCAAAGAUGUCGGUGCAGGGAUGACACCUAUGGGAUCACGAGAAUCCCUACUAUGGUUGCGGGGCGCGGGGUUGCGAGAAGGGCGGAUCGAACAGAUAGCACACGGGUUCUUUAUCCAGGUUCGGGCCGCGAGGAUGCGUAAAACCCUACUCCUGCUUUGGUGGUUGUUUAUCUGUGUUCUCAGGCUAGCAAUGAGGCAUGAAGAGCUCCAAAAAGCCGAAUCCCCCUCCUGGUCGCCUUGGGCCUCCUUUUAUAGGGAAAGGGGUUGCCACAGUGGCACACAGGAGGUGGAAAGGGCACAGUGAUACGAGUUUAUCCCUCGCAUUACAUGACAAGGCGCAUUUAAUGCGUCUUGCUUAGGUGUCCUUACUUUAUCGGGGACGGGGGAGAACCCUGUCUUGUCUGUCGCCGCUCCCUUUCGCGUCGACACGCGCCCUGGCCAGCGGUGCCCGUGGCGCCAUGUAGGCAGGCAGGCAGCUGAGGUGGCGUAGCGGUGGGUCUCCAAGAUCUGCCCACCACCACGCAGGUGCCUGCCCAACUGGUUGGGUCGGCAGCUGCAUGCGAACGGUGGUAGAGGUUGGAAUUGGCGUGGGCCUGAUGGUGGCCCUACGGGUGUCCUUGGCAAGGGCCUCGCCGUAGCCCCGGCAAGGGUCUUGCCGGGGCCCCGGCAAGGGUCUUGCCGUGGCGCCUGCUGUCAUUCCCGACAAGGCUCUUGUCGGGGGCAUUGUGGUCCUCCUUGGCUGGGAUCCUGCCAAGGGUCGUCAUCUUCUAUAGUGUAUAUCUGAUCUUGAAUGUCUUCACAAAGAUCUGCAUGCCACCACGAGGAUGUCUCCUGAAUCCUUGCCCAACGGGGGCGGUGGACUCAAGGGUGACUCGCUCCGUAGGUGUGGGGCGAGCUUCCACGGCAGGGGUCUUGCCGGGUUUGCUAAAACCGUCCCCCGGCAAGGACCUUGCCGGGGGAGUCUGCUUCGUCCCCUUUGCUCUUUGUGGUCUUGGUCUUGGCGUCGUUCCGCUCCUUUCGAGCUUCCGCCUUACCUUGACUCACCUCCCUUGCCUUGCCGGUGCGGUGGUGUCCGUGGCUCGGACUGCCCGUGCACAGUUAUAGGGGUACAAAAAGUGUACCCCUCCCUUUUUGUACACCGACACAUGGGUCAGAAAAUGAGGUAAUAUUGCAUCUUUGUUCCUUUAUGUACAUGGCCCAAAUCACUAGAGAAACUUACACUGUCUCGAGAUUGGUCAAAUUCCCAUUGCUUGGGGAGAACAGUCCAGAGAGCUCCAUGGGCGAGGGAGUCUAUGUCAAAAACCAAAAGGAAGCGGACACAAGCUCCAUGGACGGCGACAGAUUCACAGACUAGUCCAAGGCAUCAUCAAUUCAUUUUUCACAAUCUACACCUGCACGUGCAACCUUUAUCAGCAAAAUCCAAAACAACCAUACCAAGAAAGGUUUUGUUUUGAAAAAUAGUAGAUGCAACCAGAACACUGACAAAGUCAGGGACUUGUCAAACGUAAAUGAAUGGUUUGAGUCAUCACAUUAAGAGCACUCUCACUUAAUGUGUUAGUUUGGUGUCCGUGCGUUCUCACGAAACCAAAAAAAAGUCUAGAGGUAGCAUUAUUCCCGAAGAGAGCAAAGUGGAUUUGAAUAUGACAUUUAUGUUUGUUGCUGGAAGUUGUGGUCUUUGAUAAUUCCGUUUAUUCGAGUGGUUAGUGAGCAAAUGUGUAAUCAAAUUGUGUAAACUCAUGUGUUCUAUCAUGAUAAUGCAUGUAGGAUGUAUGCUGCCAAUGCAACAAAUUUUAGUUUAUAUGCUGGUCAUGUACAUAGGAAUGGUUCAGAUUUCUUGGAUUUCGAAAAAUCAAACAGAAGUGUAUGGGUGAACUUCUUGGAUUUAAUUACCGAUGCCCUCCAAAACUAUGUAUAGUAGAAGCACAAAGGCCAAAGCGAGGCCAAAAGUCCAUCUCACAUGGUAACUAAAACUCAUGGCUAAUCUUUGAUUGCAAGGCACAAUUAUCACUGAAAAUGAUUACCAAGACCCAAUAAUAUGUAGAGCUUGACUCUGGUCUGACUGUAACACUGAACCCGUAAAAUCUUCAUGGAAAAUGAUUAUAAAAUUAAAGUCUGAUAAAUUAUUUUAAUCUGGCAUCCAAAAUAAGUGACUUUACUUCAUAAUAGCUUCAGGUCACGAUGAUGCAGGGCACUGUGUCUCUACCAUGCCCCUACAGAGCUAAUCCAUCAAGAUCUACACGCACGGCAUCAAUAGUUCACCAAUCAACAUGUCAGAAAUGACCUGCUCAGUUCGACCAAAAAAUUGCACAAUACUCAUAGACAUACCGCUAGUUCUAGAUCAAUAUUCACUGCAGACUGCUCCAUGAUUAAUUUAUCUGCAAAUAAACAUAUUUUGUGAGGAAUUAGUGACUUCUCUAAAGCAAAGUGCAUAAGUAGACACAAUAACCACCUUGCUUGUCCUAAAUCAAAAUCAGAGAUAAGGACAGGCUCAUCUCAAUACACACCUAACAUACAGCACAUACACAUACUUCUCGUCCUAUAUAUAUUGGCAGUUACAUCGACGCUGCUAGGAAUGACUAGCUCGCCACCGGCAGAAAUCUCCGCACGUGAAACGCCUAGGCAUACUAAUGGCGGUCCUGCCGCGGGUAGCCUCCAUGGCUAGCACGGAAGAAAGGGACAGAUGCUGGAGGUUGAGAACCAGAGCCAGCACAAAAGGGUAUCAAUCACAAUAGGCACAAAGGGAAAACUAAACUAUUUUGUUCCUUUAUGUACAUGGCUCAAAUCAUUUCCUCAACGUGAAAAAGACCCUCCUUUUUGUUGUGAUAAGCUACCACAGGCAAACAAUUUGAUACAAGGUUAACAUACAAAAGAGAUACAACCUUGAGCAUAUUCCUUCAACCUAUCAAAAAGCUUAAAACCCUCAAUAUAACAGAAUAGCAUCAAAAUAGUAGCAAUUAUAGUUCAUGUUAGAGGUCUACCUAGACUCUGAAACUGCAGGAAAAAAGCAAUGACUUUCCUCACUCAGAACAACUAUGUACACCCUCCGUUCCUUAUUAUAAGAAGUUUUGGUAGUUCAAUUUAGACUACCAAAACGUGUUAUAUUUAGAAACAGAGGUAGUACUCCCUCCGUCCGAAAAUACUUGUCGUAGGAAUGGAUGUAUCUAGAUGUAUUUUAGUUCUAGAUACAUCCAUAUUUAUCCAUUUCUCCGACAAGUAUUUCCGGACGGAGGGAGUAGAAGAUUUCAUCUUACAAAACACGAAACGAAAACAGAGAGGGAAUGGCAGCUCCAAAACAUAGCAUAACUCACACAAUAAAAUGUUUCUAAAUGGCUCUGGGAUUACAGCCAACAAAAGUGACAGAAAGAAUCUGAACAAAGUUUCCUCUUACGUUCAUACAAAAAAAACUUGUACAAACAGAACAAAUUGUCCCGAUCACUAACUAGCAGUGCGCCAAUCCUAGAAGUUGUGCUGCAAUGUAACAUCUGAUUUUCAACUUGACAGUGUUCGACCCUGCAUCAAUUCAAACUAAAUGUAUCAUUAUCCUCUGUAGGUAUUCAUUGGUUCAGACUUGAUGAAUAUCAAACUAGCUGGGAGCUGAGAACUACGAUAGGGAAGCAACAUUGAGCAUCAUUGCGCAAUUAAAGCACUCAAAUUUUUGUACUAUAGCCUUCUACAUAUCACAAAUCACAGCACAUGCGCGCGUGUUGUGCACACUGUAAGACAAUAGGCUUUGGGGGGAACCGGCACAACCCUCUAGGGGUGGCCUAUCACAUAUAUAUAUAAUGAGGUGGUAUACAACGUUACAAUAUACACAUGUAAAUACAGUCUAACACCCUCCCUCAAUCUUAGCCACUUUCUAAUGAAUCUAGAAGGGUAAGAUUGCGCCUGCAAGUCUCAAACUGUGGCAAAGGCAAUGGCUUGGUGAAGAUGUCAGCAAGUUGAUCCUUGGAAGAAAUAAACUUGAUCUGUAGUUGCUUCUGAGAGACACGUUCACGCACAAAGUGAUAGUCAACUUCAAUGUGUUUCGUUCGGGCAUGGAAUACCGGAUUUGCAGAAAGGUAUGUAGCACCGAUGUUAUCACACCAAAGAACAGGAGGCUGUGAUUGGGGUAUACUUAACUCCUGAAGCAAGGACUGUACCCAGAUGAUCUCUGAUGUGGCAUUGGCCACAGCCUUAUACUCAGCCUCAGUACUGCUACGCGAGACAGUAGCCUGUUUCCGAGCACUCCAGGCAAUCAGGUUAGAGCCAAAGAAGACAGCAUAACCCCCCGUGGAUCGCCUGUCAUCCGGAUUGCCGGCCCAGUCUGCAUCAGAAUAUGCUGAAAGACAACCAGAGUCAGACGGCCGAAUAUGCAAACCAUGAGCCACCGUGAAACGAAUAUAGCGCAAAAUCCGCUUAACAGCAGACCAAUGAGUGUCACGGGGUGACUGCAGAUACUGGCAGACUCGGUUAACAGCAUAGGAAAUGUCUGGUCGCGUGAUCGUCAAGUACUGGAGCCCACCAACAAUACUCCUGUACUCUGUCGCAUCAGAAGAAGAAAGAAGCACACCAUCAACAGCAUUGAGCUUAUUAGUGGUAGACAUGGGUGUAGUCGUCGGUUUGCACUUAAGCAUCCCAGCUCGCUACAACAAAUCCAGAGAGUACUUCUUCUGCGUCAUAACAAGGCCAGCAUCACGAGAAGUAACCUCCACACCAAGAAAGUAAUGAAGCUUCCCAAGGUCCUUGACCGCAAAAUCAGCACCAAGUGAGCGAACAAGCGCAGUAGCAGCCCACUGAGAGGAGGUGACCAAAAUGAUAUCAUCUACAUAGACCAACAAGUACAUAGUAACCUCAGGCCUUUGAAGAAGAAACAAUAAGGAGUCAGCAGUUGAUGAUGCAAAACUAUGAGCACGAAGAGCCAUUGCAAGACGAGCAUGCCAAGCACGAGGAGCCUGCUUCAGACCAUAAAUUGCCUUGGACAGACGACAGAGAUGAUCAGGGCGAUCCGGAUCAGAGAAACCCGGAGGCUGGCGCAUGUAAACCUCCUCCGCCAAGACACCAUGAAGAAAAGCAUUUUGAACAUCAAGCUGACGAAGAAACCAACCUCGAGUAACAGCCAGAGAGAGAAGAAGUCUGAUGGUAGUAGGUUUGACCACUGGACUGAAGGUGUCUUCAUAGUCAAGUCCAAAACGCUGUCGAAAACCACGAGCAACCAGACGAGCCUUAUAGCGCUCAAUGGACCCAUCAGAAUGCCUCUUCACUUUGAAAACCCAUUUGGAAUCAAUGACAUUUACCCGUGAUUGCGGAGGAACAAGAGUCCAUGUCUGAUUGCGAAGAAGCGCUUGAUACUCCUGCUCCAUGGCCUCUCUCCAAUGAGGAAUGCGCAUAGCAGCUUGAUACGUGCGUGGCUCAGAGGAUGGAUCUGCGAGAGCAGCAGACAUGCACGCCGCUAACCAAGCAACUGUGCCAUCGUGACGUUGCUUAGGCUGAAAAAUGCCACUCCGACUGCGCGUAUGUGGACGUAGAGCAGCAGCAGGAGCCGGCGGAGGCGAAGGUGAUGGAGACGUGACAGUCACCGGAGAUGCAGGAAUCACCUCAGGCGAGCUCGGGACAGACGACUCCGGGCUGCAUGGCGAAGACUGGCCCGACGCCAGGGGCUCAGAGGCCAUGGGCGAACCGAGAGUGGGCGAGGCCAGCUCCGGUGACACCGGCCCAGACGGCCUUGGCGAGGCGAGAGCAGGCGAGGCCGGCCCUGGUGAGAAGGGCCCAGACACCCUAGGCGAGGCAGGGGCGGGCGAGGCCGGGCCUGGUGAUGACUGCCCCGACGCCCUGGGCGAGACGGGGACCGAGGAGGCCGGCCCAGUCGGCGGGGUUGCAGGGCGCGACGAUGGCGAAGGCAGCCCAGAAGCCAGAGGCGACCGGGCCAGGACGUCGAUCGGCCGUGCAUGAGCACGGAAACCGAGGCCAUGCAGGGGCGCCAUGUGCUCCUCAUGCACAACAGAAGGUGCCGAGGAUGAAGGCGAUGGCGACGAAGAGGAAGAUGGCACUUCCAGAAUCUCCAAACGAGCCCCACGACCAGUGCCUGCACCAUGGUUAGGCAACAAUAGAGGAGAAUAUGCAACAUCAUCAAAUUGGUCAGAAGCAACAGAGGAUGAAUGCAUGACAGGUGGCUCGGUAGUGGACACAGGGAGUUUGGCAAAGGGAAAACAUGCUCAUCAAACACAACAUCCCGAGAGAUGUAGACACGAUUAGUGGGCACAUGAAGACAUUUGUAUCCUUUAUGAAGAGAGCUAUAACCAAGAAAAACACACUUCUUGAAACGAAACUCGAGCUUACGCUUGUUAUAUGGACGGAGAUGGGGCCAGCAAGCACACCCAAACACCUUGAGAAAGGUGUAGUCCGGUUGUUCAUUAAGGAGAACUUCAAUGGGAGUCUUCAUAUUCAAAACACGAGUGGGAGUACGAAUGAUGAGAAAACAUGCAGUGGUGAAAGCAUCACUCCAAAAACGAAACGAAACAGAUGCAUGGGCCAAAAGAGUCAGACCAGCUUCAACAAUGUGACGAUGCUUACGUUCUACUGAACCAUUCUGCUGAUGUGUAUGUGGACAUGCUAAACGGUGAGUGAUCCCAAGCGACUGAAAGAAGGAGUUGAGGUUGCGAUACUCGCCACCCCAGUCCGACUGAACAUGAACAAUUUUGUGCUUGAGAAGGCGUUCAACAUGUUUUUGGAACUGAACAAAAAUGUCAAACACAUCAGAUUUACGUUUGAUAAGAUAAAGCCAGGUAAAGCGGUUGUAAGCAUCAACAAAACUGAUAUAGUAAUUAUGACCACUAACAGAAGUCUGAGCAGGACCCCAUACAUCUGAAAACACAAGUUCUAAAGGAUGUUUCACCUCACGACUGGACUCCGAAAAAGGAAGUUGAUGACUCUUCCCCUGCUGACAAGCAUCACACACUGCUACAUCUUUAUUACUAGACACACUAGGAAGCUCAUGACGACGCAAAACAUGCCGGACAAUAGGUGUGGCCGGGUGACCAAGACGAGCAUGCCACUGUGACGGAGAUACCCGAACUCCACUAAAGACGCGAGCGACGCCAGGAUGCUCCAGACGAUAGAGACCUUGGCAGAGCCGCCCACUAAGAAGAAUGUCCCUCGUGCCCUGAUCCUUAAUAAAAAGAUCAAAAGGAUGAAAUUCACAAAGCACAUUAUUAUCACGAGUGAGUUUAGGAAAUGAAAGAAGAUUACGUGUCACAGAUGGAACUCGAAGAACAUUGCGAAGUUGAAGACUCCUAUUGGCAUGUCUAGUGAGAAGUGAUGCUUGACCAAUAUGAGAGAUGUGCAUACCUGCUCCAUUGGCGGUGUGGAUCUUGUCGGAGCCAUGGUAGGGUUCACGAGUGUGAAGCUUCCCCAUCUCACUGGUCAGGUGCUCUGUCGCCCCAGAGUCCAUGUACCAGUGGGGAUCAAUGGAGUAGGACUGAGUGUGUCCCUGUGGCUUCUGCGGCGGCGGACGAUCAGCCAUGGCGACCUGACGAGCAAAGUUGCGUGUAUCCUUACCGUCAUUGCCGAGACCAAGAAAACCCCGCUGGAAGCGCUUGUGACACUUCGAGGCCCAGUGCCCAUCGCGACCACAAAGCUGGCACACACGUGGACCGCCAGCCCCUGGUAGCAUCGCAGUAGGAGGAGGGGCCGAGGCGGGUGGUGGUGACUGCCCCGAAGGAGCCCUGGAUGAAGCAGAGGAGCGACCACCCUUGGUGGCGGCGUUUGCCGAGAGGGCGCCGUUGCCCCUGGAUCGGCGCGUCUCGAAUCGUUGCUCAGUAAGCAGGAGGCGUGAAAAGACCUCGUGUGCUGGCAUGGGCGUGGAGUUGCCCCUCUCAUUGAUGAUCUCGACUAGGGCGUCAUACUCCUCAUCAAGACCAUUGACAAUAAACGAGUUGAACUCGGAGUCGGUGAGGGGCUGUCCAAUGGAGGCCAGCGUGUCGGCGAGACUCUUGACUUUGUUGUAGAACUCAGUGGCGGUGGAGUCAAACUUCUGACACUCCCCAAGUUGGCGACGGAGCCCAGAUACACGAGCCUGCGACUGUGCCGCAAACGAGCGCUCAAGAAUAGUCCAUGCCUCGUGGGACGUCUUGGCGAAGACAACAAGCCCAGCAACGGCCGGAGAGAGCGACCCCUGGAUGGAGGAGAGGUUCGCCUGAUCCUGCCCUGUCCAGACACGGUGAGCUGGAUUAUAGACCGGACCGUGCACGCUGUCAACCAGCGCAGGAGGGCAAGGAAGAGAGCCGUCGACAUAGCCAAGCAGAUAGUGACUCCCAAGAAGCGGAAGAACCUGCGCGCCCCAGAAGAUGUAAUUGUCCGACGACAACUUGAUGGUGAUGAGAUGGCCGAAGUGAAACGGCGGCGGCGGCUGCGAUCCCAUCGAGGAGACUGGCUGAGGUGAGACCACCGUGGAGACAGUCAGAGGGGCAGCCGGCGCGGUGACAGAGGGCGCGAUGGCCGCGGUUGACGCCGCGAAGCCUGCCAGCGCGACGUCCUCCGCCACCAGCGGCGCAGUGGCCGAGGGCGCGACAACCGCUGUUGACGGGGCGGCGGCGGUGUGGGCCACAAGCGCCUGCCCGGGCGAAGUAGCAGCCGGCGGGAGCGCGAAGAGGGAGCCGACGCUCCGUGUCCCGAUCGGCGCCUGAAGGGAGGCGGCAUCCAGCGGCCUCGAGAGAAGUGCCGCGAGGGAGGCCGGCAGAAAACCGGUGGCGGUGGAGCCGGACGCAAGGGCGGACGUCAUAGCAGUCGGGCGACGGCGACGGCGGGCGCGGCGGCGGCGGCGGUGGCGGCGGCGGCGGCGGCGGCGGUUUAGGGUUUUUAGGCGGAAGCGGACGUAACCUAACGUGAUACCAUGUAAGACAAUAGGCUUUGGGGGGAACCGGCACAACCCUCUAGGGGUGGCCUAUCACAUAUAUAUAUAAUGAGGUGGUAUACAACGUUACAAUAUACACAUGUAAAUACAGUCUAACACACACUCACACACACACGACAUCCAUGGAGGUAGAGUUCAAGAGACGCACCGGUGACAUGCUGCCUAUGGUUGCCGUCAUCAUGGGGGGUGACACCGUGGCGCUGAGGAUGGCCCAGACCAUGGUGCGUUGAGGAUGCUCCUCGGCCUUGCGGAUGCACUACUCCAAGUGUUUAGAGGAGAUGGGGCGACCUUCCAUGGCGUCAGGGUCGGAGCAGCUCUCCUCUCCCGGCACGACAUGCCCGUGAACCCGCGUGGGAGCACCUUCUACAUGGAACCCUUCCUUGACACAACCAGAUCAGAUGGGAUGGGAGCAAAGUGCCUGCACAAAACAGAACAGCAAAAGGGGAUUCAUUUAUUCAGAGAAGAGGAAUUAGAGCUCGCAUGCACCCAGCAAAAGGGCAUUUGUAUAAAGUAAGUAGCUGCAGAUGCUUUGACGCGUCAAGAAAAAUUAGAGCUUGCAUACACAGGCUAUAGGAGACCACACCAUGGUAGUUUGGUUUCAAGGGUUUGAAGAAAAUGAAGAAGUCAACAAAGUGCCUCCAAUUCAUUACUCCAAGUCACGAAUUUGUUUGUCUCAUUAUGAUCAAUUAGCUUGAUUAGGAAAUGUCCAUAGACUAUAACUCCAACAAAAAAGCACCGACUUUCCUCAGUCAGAACAACUAAUGUACACCCUCUGUUCCUUAAUAUAAGACGUUUUGGCAGUUCAAUUUAAACUACCAAAAUGUCUUAUAUUUAGAAAAAAAAAAGGAAGUAGACGAUUUCAUCUUGCAACACAUGAAACGAAAAGGCAGAGGGGAUGCCAGCUCCAAAACAUAGCGGCAUUCACACAAUAAAAUGUUUCUAAGUGGCUUUGGGAUUACAACCAACAAAAGUCACUGAAAAAAUCUGGACAUAGUUUCCUCUUUCGUAUAAAAAGAAUAAAUUGUCCCUGUGACUAACAAACAGUCCACCAAUCCUACAAGUUGUACUGCACUGUAAUACUGUCAACUUGACAGUUUUUGACCUUGCAACAGUUCAAACUAGAAAAUGUAUCAUUUUACUCUCUAGGUGUUCAAUGGUUCAGACUUGAUGAGUAGAGUAUCAAACUAGCUGGGAGGUGAGGACUAAGACACUAAGGCAACAUUGAACAUCAUGUCGCAUUCAAAGCACUGGAAAUUUCUCACAAAUCAGAAAGCACAGACACACACGCACAGACGGCAUGCGCGGAGGCAGAGCUGAAGAGACACACCGAUGACAUGUGGCCGCCUAUGGUCGGCAUUGGCGUCGUGACACCGUGGCUUUGAGGAUGGCCCAGACCAUGGUGCGUUGAGGAUGCUCGUUGGCCUUGCGUCCAAGUGUUGGGGCCAGAAGUGGUUGAUGCGUUUGAUCCUCUGCAGAUGAGAUUGCAUUAGUGCACGAACGGAUCUUAGAACUGAAUCAAAGACAAGAGGAAAAAGAGGAGGGAGGAGGGUGAGGGGCCUUACAUAGGGGCCUUUAAUUUGUGCUUGCGGGAGGACGAGGAGUAGGACGGGACCCCUGAGAGCCACCGGCGGCAAGGGGCUCGCGAAUGAAAGACGAGGAGACGAAUGAAAGUUUGUUUUUUCCUUUGAUGAUUGAUCCUGAGACGAAAGUUUGCUGCGUGCUCAUUGGUGGACUCUGGCAUCCCGCGGAUCGACCCUCAUUUGUAACUAAAUCGCAGCCAUCUAUCCAAAUCCGAUGGACGAGAGCGACGUGGGAGACAAAAGAGAGAGAUGAGAAAGGGAUCGGGUGGGUGUUUUUUUUUCUUUGGUGUGUGGAGCCUCGUUUUCAGUUGGGUUUUCUCUCGCAUCUACUCCCUCCGUUCCAAAUUACUCGUCGCUGAAAUGGAUGCAUUUAGAACUAAAAUACAUCUAGAUACAUCCAUACGUGCAACAAGUAAUUCGGAACGGAGGGAGUAGAUGAAAGUUUUGCUUUAUUUUUUCUCCGCCAGCGAGUCUCCGCCAGCGAGUCGCCGUCCAUGACAUGACAUGAGUGCCGCCGGUCGCAUCUCCGGCCUCCCCGACGCAAUUCUCGUUCGCGCCAUCUCCUUCCUUCCUGCCAGCGACGUGCUCGUUUCGGCCGCGCCUCCCGCAUGCGGUGGCCGGAAAAGUCCUGGGCUCCGCUCGACCUCCUUUGCUCGGAAGAUGAGAACGGAUUUGUUUGGAACCCGAUCGAUAUGGCAUGCGUGCGUGCGUGCGUGCGUGCGUACAAAAGUUUGUAUUUAACACGUACGAUGGAUGCUGCUGUUUCGUUCGAGAUCGCUGGCUGUUUGGUAUGGUUUGGUUUCUCCACCCGUCUCAAAUUAUACGUCUAUACAUAUGGACAAAUUGUAUGGUUUGGUUUCCUAUAAUUGAACAAAUUCUUACGGGUCUCCGAAAGGUAAUAAUAUUUUUGUUCACCCUGGUCGCUAGCUACCCGUACCAAAUAAAAUCUGAUCGCUAGGGUUUUUCUGGAAAAAAAGAACUGAUCGCUAGUGCUAACACCCAUUUGUUAGCUUUUGCGUCUGAUUGUUAUACAUUUACAAGUACAUUUCUCAUCGCUAGCUUUUAUGCUACCAACGGUUUUUUUUCCUUUUGGUUUUUGUGUUUUCACUGUUAUAUUUUAUAAUUAAUUUUCAGUAAGGAGCAAAGUUUGGUCAAAACAUAGUUCAAAAAACUUGUUCACGAAUUUACAUAAAUUUUCUCAAAUUAUGAAAAUGUUAACGAAUACAAAAAAUGUUCUAAUAUAUGGCGAACAAUCCUUUAAUAUAUCAUCAUUUUCAGCAUACACACUAGUAUUUUGCAAUAUACAUUGAUUUUUUUUGGUAUAUAUACAAUAAACUAAAAUCAAACUUUUAUAUAUAUAUAUAUUGAACUAAGAGCAAACCGGAAAAAACAAAAAACAAGCGAAAACCAAAUAGAGAAAAUAGACAAAUAAGAAGAGACCAAAAAUGGAACGAAUUUUGAUUUUUGUUUAAAAAUAAUAAAUACCAAUAAUUUUUUAAAAUGAACGAAUUUAUGACUUUUGGAAGAUUUAUUGGAACUUGUGAAUUUAUGAAAAAAGAAAAAGAAUCAGAAAAAACAAAAAAAAUGAAAUUAGCUUUUGAAAAUAGAAAAAUUAAAAUGAGAGAAAAGCUAAUGAAGAAAAAUGAUAAAAAGGAAAAAACAUGAAUAAAACAAAACAUAACAUAUAAAAAACAUAUCCUAGCAACUUGGGUCAGCUUUUCUGCGGUUUGUUCGCUGUUGAGGAUGAACUUGAAAUUGGGACAAAAAGAAUGUUGGGCCCCAAUUGUGAGUCGAGGGUGGACUUGCAACUAGGACUAAAAUGGGUCAGACCCUAGUUAUUUGUCGAGUUUGGACUUGCAACUAGGACAAAAAAGGUCAGGCCCGAAUUGCGAAUCGAGGGUGGAAUUACAAUUGGGACUAAAAAAUCCAGGCCCCAGUUGCGAGUUCAGGGUGGACUUGCAACUCAGACAAACAAGGUUGGGCCCUAGUUCUGAGUCGAGGGUGGACUUACAACUGAGAUAAAAAAAGUUAGGCCCAUAUGCGAGUCAGAGGAUGGACUUCCAACUCGUACAAAAAAAGGUUGGGCCCUAGUUGCGAGUCUAGGGUGGACCUUGCGUGCGUGUGUGUGUUGUGAACCUUGUUGAAUGAUUGGCUCGGGCGGUUUGCUUUAUAUAUAAAGCAGGGCAAAAACCUUUUUGGGUAAUACCUCCAAGUUCCCAUAGAGGAACAUCAUGGUGCAAAAGUUGCAACUAGAGACGAUAACGAAUUAGAAAUGUCUUGAUGUAAGGUUUUAUCAAGACUAUUGGUUGUUUGUGUUUGUUUCAUUUUAUUCUGUUUGAUGUACUUUUCAAAUUAUGUUUGAUGUACUUUUCAAAUUAUUAGAAAAAUCUGGAUCAUUUGCUUAAAGCUAUGAUCAAUUUCCUUUUAAAAGAGCUCUCGCACAAAAAUCCUUGAGAGAGAGAAGAGAGAGGAGAGAAAGAGAGAGAGAGAGAGAGAGAGAGAGGAGGGUGGGGGUGGGACUUGCCAAGAAACAUAAUUUUCCCUACGAAGGGAUGGUCUAGGUUUGUGUACAACCUCUUACAUCUUGACGGCUUGUACAAUUUGGUGGUGAUGCGUAGCGGCCUAUGUGUUGUAGCUGAUCGGAGAAGAACUCUCUCUCUCUCUCUCUCACACACACACACACACACGAGAGAGAGGAGGGUUUGCGCUGCGUUCAACAUCUGCAUCUUUUCUGUUUUCUCGUUUAUUUAACAACUGAACUAACUAACAGAAAGAUCCUAACUUUGUGCCACGACCCAGCUAAUCAGAUGCGCCAUCCCACAUCCUAGGCCACGCAGAAAGCAUCGUGCUAACGACCUAGCUACUGCCCCGAUCCAGCCGUGAACAGGCUCACGUUUGCAUGGACCGGCUUAUUUGCUGAAAACCAAAACUAAGCAACUAGUGUGACAGGAUUACAACCAUUCCAACAAAUCACCACCUAAUCAUGUCGCCUAAGAUCCCUUCACUUCAGCGACACCAAGCCACUGACGCAACAAACUGAAUCUGACGUGUCCAAGUGCUUUGGUGAGAAGAUCGGCUAGUUGUCUGUCGGUCCCAACGUGCUCGACCUAAACCUUUCCAUCCUUGACGCAUUCACGAAUGAAGUGAAACAUAUGUUGAUGUGCUUACUCCGAUCGUGAUGCACCGGGUUCUUGCUCAGCGAGAUCGCUGACUUUUUGUCAAUGUACAGCUUCACCGCCAUGGGUUCGCUGACGGCCAGCUCGCCGUAGAGACGACUCAGCCAGAUGCCCUGGCACGCCGCCGUUGCCGCCGCCAUGUACUCUGCUUCACAAGAGGAGAGGGUGAUGACUUUCUGUUUCUGUGAUGUCCAUGUGAUCGGGCUGCAAUGGAGGAAGAACACCACCCCAGUUGUACUCUUGCGAUCGUUGAUGUCGCCGGCGAGGUCACUAUCGCUGUACCCCACCAGCUCGGCUUCCUCCAGGGUCCUUCUGUAGCAGCACCCAUAGCCAGAGGUCCCUCGAACGUAGCGGAGGAUCUGCUUCACCACCGCCCAGUGCGGCGCGCCCGGCGCGUCCAUGUGCCGGCUGACGAUGCCGACGGCAUGUGCGAUGUCCGGCCUAGUGUUGCAGAGGUAGCGAAGGCUCCCAACAACACUCCGGAACUUGGUGACGUCAAUGCCGCCGCCGGUGUUGCCCUUGAUCAGCUCCAUCCGGUGCUCGAUGGGCGUGUGGCUCAGGUUGCAGUCUUUCAUACCAGCCUGCUCCAGCACCUUCUCUGCAUAAGUGCUUUGACACAACGUGAUCACGCCCUCACGCUGUUUAACCUCGAUCCCCAGGUAAUAACUCAGGAGACCAAGGUCGAUCAUGUCGAACAACUGGUGCA
rnacentral:lncRNA from 1 species